CUGCUCAAGAAUGUAAAGCCAUGUCAUUCAACUUGUUGUCAAUUGAUCCUACUGGUAAAUACAAAUACAUGUCACUUAAAAAGAUUAUGCCAUUAUAGUUUUCUGAAACAAGAAUACGCCAUAAUAGCAUAGUGCCAGAAUUAUUUCAGUCGCUAUACAGUUUGAUGUGAUUCACAUGCAUGAUAUUUUAAUGAGUAGGCAAAUCGAAAUAUAAGGCAAGUAGAAGGAAGAGGAACCAGGAGUGGUGAUGUUGUGCUCAUCUAUACCGUCGGUUGUGAGCUAUGCAGUGGCAGCUGCCCUACAGAGAGGAAUGGUUGUGGCCCGGGAACAUGGCGCCUCAAAAUCAAUGUUAUAUGCUGUUGAGGAAGGGCGCCUCUGAUGGUCGCGCUGCAUCACCAUGUCAUCGCCAGUGCCGACAACGGGCGAACGCCGGGAGGGAGGUGGCACACCGCCGCAGGAGAGCGGAGUAGAGCACGGGACAACGUGAGGAGGGGGGCAACUUACCAAACCUCCCGCCAUGGUCACCCUCGAUUGGAUCCACCAUCCUGCACAUGUCGUCGUUGACGUCCUACGCCAGUGCCUUCUUCAGGCACUGCAUAGCGGCCGCUCCACCUCACCAUUGCCUUGACACGGAGCAGCCAACCAGGACGGAGCGAUAAGGUGUUGGAGCACCUCCUUGUGUCAGCUUCAGCGCCCGCUUAGCCAAGGUGGCAACUCCCGGCGACGCCGUGGGUGGUCGGCUCUGGUGGCAUGCGAUGGCGGGCGUCGGCGAUCUGGGCAGGCGAAAGGUCGAGGCGCGGGGUGGCUCGCAGCGUCAAGCAUGUGGCACACUUGAACAACGGGGACGCCGGGACUCCAGCACCUGAACGACGUGAGGCCGCGAGCUCAUGGUCGAGAGCAAUGGCAUUGGCCCAAGAUGACGGCAACGUCGACGAUGUGCAGCCGCGGUCUGAGUUUAGCCUACCGCGCGGAGGUACGCCGCCUUCCUUCCUCUCCUCCGUCAUGGCCUUUGAUCGUGGUGGGGGCGACGGGAGUGAAUUUUGGAGCUUGUUGGUGGGACUACGCCGCCUUCCCUUCCUCUCCUCCGUCAUGGCCUCUGCUUGUGGUGGGUGCGACGGGAGAGAAUUUUGAAGCUUGGUGGUGGGACGAGGAGGCGGCGGUUGUGUUGUGUCGGGAUGAGGGAGAGACAAUUUAUAGAUCUACAAUAGCGAUGAAGAGGACAUGAGAUUGGACUGGAGUUUUCUAGAGAGAAGAUACGGGACGACAUGAGAUUGGACUGGAGUUUUGUAAAGAGAAGUUACGUGUCCCGACCGGACCCAUCUUCCAUAGUAAAAAAAGUAAAACCGGUGUAAAAAUUGUAACGUGGCAAAGGAAGGAACCAAAAUCAAAGCAGCGAUGGACACGUACGAUCGGAACACAUGAAAGGAAACUGGCGUGACCCUUCCAUUCAACACAAAGAAAGACAUGGUAAAAAAACGUGCAACAUCUAGGUAGCUAAAAAAUAGGAACGACAAGGAAAGCUCCCGUCACACGCGUCAUUUUCUCAGGGGCGUAAAAAGAAUUCCGGAAAAACUAGAAAAAGGGAACCCUUACGGGCCUAGUAUUCUUAGUAUUAGGAAAUUUUGGUAUUUGGUUCCAAUUAAAGCUUGAACAAUUUUGGUUUUUCCCGUGACAUAUCACGAGCCGUCCUACCUGUAGCUCCUCUACAUUGAGUUCGUAGGAUCCGGCUUGCCUACUCCCUCCCCAUGCUCCCAUCCAAGCUCCCAAUUCAUCCUACAGUUGUUUUUUUCCUUUUUCCUUCCUAAUCUAAUCAUCCCUCUGAUUUUAACAGGGUGGGCCCGGACCUUAUUUUGUUCCAAUCAAAUUAAGCCACGUACGCGGGAGUACGGAUGGGCGCACGCGUGGGGCUCAGGCAAGUCUCAUCUGAGUUCGUAUGCCCCUCUCUCAAGCCGGCCCUGAUGGAUAUUUAUUGGGCACCAAUACGCGCCGGUGUACCAGCCGAACGAUUCAGCCGGUCAGCCCCAGCCGCACGAUGCGUGCGUCUACAUCGCACGAUUCCUCCUCUCGCCCCCCCCCCAUGAGCCCGUCUUCUUCCUCUCGAUAGCUCCCCCAGGCCUCCCGCUUCCUCCUCUCGCUGACAAGCCAUGACUCCGCGGUUGCCCCUGCGCCGCCCGCCGCGGCACCACGCUCAUCCUCAUCAGCCGCCCGCGCCGCCGCGCUCCCGUCGCCGUCGAGUGGUUGCAGCUUUUUUGCCAGGCGUUUCCAGCAUCCUUGAUGGGAAGUUCCAGCACUGCCGGUGGUGACCGCCCAACUCUGGGGAGCAGCGUCGUCGGUGCUCCGUCGGACUGGUUCCAGCAUUGAUCUCGCUCUGCCAGUCCACGGGUGUGUCAUCCCAAAAAUCAAGAGGUUGUCCCCCUCUCCUUGCAGCUCCACUGUACUGCGGUUCUAGCUUGCCGGACAACGGUUGCAACAUCCCAGCCGCAGGGGGUCGCCUUGCAGCUCCACUGGACCGCCGUUGCAGAUCCAUUGGACUGCGGUACCAUCUCUUGUGGCAAUGGUUGCAGCUCCCCUUGCAUGGCUGCGGCACGCCAUGCCGGCGGCCAUGUCGUCCCGCCGUCACCGAUGCAGCAAAACUGGUCACCCGUAGUAGCAAAACAAACCACGGUUACAGCUCUCGUGCAUUACCAUUGUAUCUUUUCUAGAAUAAUGUCGUAGCUUUUUCCUUUGGUCGCGGGUCGCAGCUCGCUGUCGCGCCCCCACGCAUCACGGAUGUAGCAAUUUUGAUCACUGGUUCCAGCAAAUCUAGAUGCUCGUUCCAGCAAAAAUAACUGCCACCAUCGCUGCUCCAACCAGUUGUAGCGAAAAAGACGGUCAGUUCCAGCAUCUGGUGUGGUCGGUUGUAGCAAUAAAAGUUCUUGGUUGUAGCUCCAACCCUGACCGGCUCUAGCACCGGCGAUGAAGCUGGUAGCGUCCCCCCAUGGCUCGGCACCAGGGUCGGUGAUGGCCGAAUCCAGUGUUGGUGGUGGCAGCAGCGUAGCGUCAACCCGUCGGCGGUCGGCCGCGAGGGGAGCUCGCAAUGGUUCGUGAGCAGCGGGGAGGAGAGAAAAGUCAUGGUUGUGGAGUCUCGGCUGAAGGUAGAAGAAAGGAAAAAAAGGAAGGCCAGGAAAAAAGAUAAGAAUAGGAGAGGGGGCGGUUGUGCGAGGCCCACCACGUACACGCGUCUUGCUCGGGAGUUGUUUUCGUGGGGCCAGAGUGGCGUGCGAGCCGGCCGAACAUUCGGCCGGCGCCCCAGCCCAAAUCGUUUUCCAUAUGGGAAACGUUUAUACCCGGCGCACCGGCUGAGUCUUCCGCCGGUCGCGCACGCGGCGUGCGGUCCAUUUUUCCUUGUUGCACCAAGUCGAUUGUCCACGCAUCCAGGCCCACAUGCAACACCCUCUUUCCCUCUUUCCUAGCCACGCAUCUACGGCCUUAUCCAUCUGCCAACCGCUCUUCUUCCUCCCCAGCUCUUUCUCUCUCCACGAGCGACCAAAGCACAUGCCAUGNNNNNNNNNNAGCCCAAAUCGUUUUCCAUAUGGGAAACGUUUAUACCCGGCGCACCGGCUGAGUCUUCCGCCGGUCGCGCACGCGGCGUGCGGUCCAUUUUUCCUUGUUGCACCAAGUCGCUUGUCCGCGCAUCCAGGCCCACAUGCAACACCCUCUUUCCCUCUUUCCUAGCCACGCAUCUACGGCCUUAUCCAUCUGCCAACCGCUCUUCUUCCUCCCCAGCUCUUUCUCUCUCCACGAGCGACCAAAGCACAUGCCAUGCCGAUGAAAGCCAACCGGCUAGACCAGAUCCCACUCGCCGNNNNNNNNNNNNNNNNNNNNNNNNNNNNNNNNNNNNNNNNNNNNNNNNNNNNNNNNNNNNNNNNNNNNNNNNNNNNNNNNNNNNNNNNNNNNNNNNNNNNNNNNNNNNNNNNNNNNNNNNNNNNNNNNNNNNNNNNNNNNNNNNNNNNNNNNNNNNNNNNNNNNNNNNNNNNNNNNNNNNNNNNNNNNNNNNNNNNNNNNNNNNNNNNNNNNNNNNNNNNNNNNNNNNNNNNNNNNNNNNNNNNNNNNNNNNAAAGCUACAACCAGCUGAGGCAGAAGCUGCAACCGUCGUCUUUGUUUGCUACUACCGGUGACGGAUUUUGCUACAUUCAUCAUGGCGGGUCUGCGACCUACUAGCGCGGUGGCUUUUUUUGUUUCAACCUUCCUAAGAUUUUGCUACUACCGGCGGGAUUGUUGCUACAUCCAUCAUAAGUGGGGGAGACCGCGACCUGCAACGGCAACGGCAACGAAUUGGUGCAUACGGACAUGGAAAAAAGCUUCAACCGACCUUGUAUAAGUUCCAACCGAUGGAGAAAAAAGCUUCAACAGGCAUGACGGAAAAGCUUCAAUCCUCAUGGAAAAACUGGAAGCAGCUACGAAAAAAGCUUCAACCGACCAUGAAAAAAGCUUCAAGCUAGAGCCAACAAUGGUUAUGACGGCGAGGCUACGACGGGUUGACGGCACGGAGCUGCACGGGAUUUUUUGCUGCAAUCGACAACGGGAAAAGCUACAACCGGUGCCACGUCUUGCUACUCCCGGCAAAACCCGACGAAGGUUGAAUCAAAUCGUGGUCGGCGCCAUGACUGUCGAAAUGAUUGGUUGUAGCGAUUCCUGUCACCGGUCGUAGCAAAAAUGAACCAUGGUUGAAGCAAAAUAUAUCUGCACGUGGAUGAUGAAGGAGAAAAGAUUGGCUGGGUGUGGCCAUGGCGACAGGGCUGCGGCGAGGGACAGCGGCGGAGCUGCAACCUGAGCUUCACCCGUCGCUGCUGAGAGCUACAACCGCAGGCGCAGCUAUUUCAUGGGUCAAGGCGGCGACGAGGACAGACGGCGAAGAUGGGGACUGGCGACGAGGACGGCCGACGAGGAUGGGGACCGGCGACGAGGACGGCCUGCGGGAGUGGGGACCGGCGAGGAGGUCAGGCACCGGAGGGGAGAGGACGCGCGCGCCGAGUGGGAGAGGUGAUUUCCAGCAAGAGGAAGAAGAAGCUGGGGGGCAAACCCUUUUUUUUCGCCAGAUCCAAUGGUCCACGCGGCUCAAAUCCAACGGCCCUGACGCGACCGGCCAAACGGUUGGGCCGGUGCGCCGGCGCAGAUUAGUGCCCUUUCUAUAUUUAUUUUCUUUGUGAUUUUGAGUCAGAGCAAGCAUGGCAAGUUGACAACACUACUGCACGUUUGUAGUAACUGGACGGAAAAAAAUCAUAUGGGCAUGGUGAGAUCCGCACUUCAUUCAAACUCCUUUCUUUUUCUCUUGCUAUAUCCCUGUCUUAUAUUUUCUUCUCACAUUUUAAGAUACAAAAAUAGAUGGUCUGAAUUUCGCUAAUGCGGACUGGUCGACAGAUGACAAAUCUAUUUGGGGCCUGGAUCCAGAUAUUCACUUGUUUAGUACAACGUGCAUAUGCUAUCUUUAUAAAUCUCUGAUAGUGCGUUGCGGCCGGGGAAGAGAUAAGGAGAGAAGAGAACAGCUUGACGGGAGAAGAAUAGAGAAAGGGGCAGCAAAAACAUUGGUCAUUGCUGCUGUGCUAUUGCAUACCAUGAACAAAGAAUGAAGAAAGAUGAAUAAGAGAAGAUAAACAGGAAAGGGUGCUGCAGUUGUGCCGCUGCAUUCUUCGCAAGUUUUGUCAUACUCAUCAUCCACACUUCAAGGGUAACCUUCUACUUAGUCCAAAACUAUAAUUCACAAGAAUUUAUUUUAUUCCUGUAGCCCACGGCCGACCUUGGGUUGACCACACUGGAUGCAUUUUGGGGGUCAAAAAGAGGAUAAGCGAUGCCACGGGUGGACCGCAGUGUUUAAAUAGAGGACAUUGACAUGUGUGGGAGAUGUCUUGAGUCAUUUAGUACUUACUAGCAAAAGGACCUGUACGUUGCAACCGGAGAAAAAAAUAACACACACUCUUAAUUUAGAAAAAAAUGGUAUAUAAUUUGAGUAUUUGUAGUUACGGUCCAAACAAAGAUGGUCUUUGCCAACAAAACGUGAGUUCAAGAUUCCACAUGUCUUCUAUUUAAACACGGCUUGCAUGUAGAUUUAAUACGUAUGAACAAACGGGCAAAUAAAUAGGCAAGUGAUUUUCAAUUUGGUCUCCAAUCCUGAUUUUGCUAAGAUGUUUAUUUAUCCACAAUCCGGAUUAGUACCUAUAUGAAAGAAAGACGGACAAUGCACUGUUGAUUAAGAUUGCACCUUAAAUAGUAUUAUUUUUUAAAUGGUUAACAGGUAAAAUAACAUCAUAUUCAGAUUCUAUAUUUUUUCUAAUCAAAUUCCAUAUAUAACAUGUAAAUUUGGAGUUACGGUUUAGAAGAUGAGUAUUUUAAAAAACAUUUUAUAUGUACUGCAGGUUUAAUAUAAGAAACAUUAGGGGGUUUUCUAUAAAGUAGUAUGACGGACUAAGAAUACCUAUUUCUUUUAUUAGUAGGUAUAUGUAUACGUAUAGAUUAUUGGGCUAUGAUUAUGUGAUGAUUUUUUCUCCACGUCGUAACGCACGGGCAUGUUUGCUAGUAUAAGAUUAAGUGGCUAAGGGCAACUCUAAUAGCCCGACACAAACGGACACAAAAUGAGUACGCUUUGUCGGGCCCGUGGGACUGGGGAUACCUAGGCCCGUCUGCAUGCGGCCCAGGGCGCGAUGCUUACCCUAGGGCCCAUGACUGGCCCACCUUUGGACUUCAUGAGCAAGACCCUCACGAGGCUCUCGCUUCGCGAGGCACCCGUCAGCCCGUGUCGUCAGGGUCCUCGCGAGACCCCCUCACGAGGCGAUCUUCCAAGGCUGCCUCCUGAGGCCCCUCAUGGAGGCGGAUAGAUCAAGGGUGGCUCGGCAGGGUCAUGCGGUGGUGACGUGCGCGACGACAGGCUGCGCCCAAGGCCAUGCUAGUAGGCGCAGAUGUGGAGGCUUUCCUAUUUGAUGCUAAGGGAGCGAGGACAGCGCACCGGUCCCCGAAAAAAUCCCCAAAGAUUUCCCGUUCGGUGCAAGAGGACCGAGACAACGGGCGCGCCAGGACAGAGGUCACCACUGAGCCCAUCGGGGCGCCACGACAGGAAACUUUUGCAGGCGAAGACCACAUUUAGUCAGGAUAAGCUGCAACCUUGCCCCCCUUCAAACUGGCCGUUGUGGCAACCCUUCCCGCCAUGUGUUUUUAGUGAAAGAGGACCAGAGGCAGUAUAAGAAGAGGCGAGGUGCAGCCCUAAGGAGGAGGGGAUCGUCUCGUGGCAACUUGUGCUUGAGGCUUACUCUCUCUCUCUCUCUCUCUCUCUCUCUCCCAAGCAAUCUAGACAAGCAGGAGUAGGGUCUUACACCGCGUGAUGGCCUGAACCUGGGUAAACUGUCCUGUCCUAUGUUCUUCUUCCCUAGCUUGAGCACGCCAGAGUAGGGCGGUAGGAACGCGCCCCAAAGUUUGAACCUUCUUGGGUCCUCGAAGCCCCGAUUCCGACAUUUCAUGCCAGGUAGGGGUGUGCCGCCCUUUUUUCGCACCGUUACGGCUUUUGCUUCACCGUUUCGGGCCGUGCUCCUCAUGGCGCGCGAGCUGCUCUGCUACCGUCCUGCGGAUACGGGCUACGACGCCUGGCUUGGCCGCAUCACCGAGCUCGUCAACGUUGCCGGAGAAGCCCCGGUGCCCUCCCACUCGCUCCGCCCUCCGCCGUCUCGCAUCGGGGAUGUGGCGCACGGUGCCCUUCCACCACCUCGCAUGCGCAGCGACCUCGGCAAACCCCGUCGUGACGCGCCCCUGUGUGACCAGCCCCGCGGAAUGCCGCCGCCAGCCCUCCUCGAGCAACAACAUUAACGCCAGUACCACAUCGUCCAAGAAGUCGUAGUGGCCAGGUGCCAGAAUCGCGCCACACUCGCGCGUGGCAUUGCUUCGAGCAGCGUGGGCUGUCGGGCCUUCAAUUGCGAGCUGCGCCGUGUGGUUUGGCCCGUCAAGUUCAAGCCGGAUCUCCUUUCGACUGAUUCAACAAAGAUUGCUUUUGCUCUUCUCGGUCCAGCUGGUGGUGUUGGGUGCUUGUCGUAGCUCUCUUCUGGUUCAUGUUCUGUUGUUUCUUGUGCCUUCUUGUGUGUAUUGGAUCCUAUUUGUUGUACCUGAUGUCUUGUAUCUUACUCUUAUAUAUAAUGAAAAUGGUUCAGGCCGGCGUAAGCCCGCCGUAGCACCGCCAAAUAAAUCCCCCCCUCCUUUUUCUUUUGUGCAAAAAUAAAAUUUUCCAUUUUCUGUUCGCAAGUGGUCAAAUUUUGGUUACAAUUUUGAAUUCUCGUCACUCUAUAAAUGUGAUAUCACAAAAUGUUAUCAUUCUGCAUAAUGUCAUACAAAUGAGAUUUGUUUUUCCAGUUCAAUGUUUGUUAUCUUUAAUUUAUAGAAGCGGACUUUACAAAAACAGUAUGCACCGCAAGACUGAUUCGGUGAAGUAAAUACCACAAAUGGUCGUUAUACUUACAAGAUUUUGCAUAACCACGUAAACAAUCGGCACGUACUCUCGCGUGUAGGGCAUUUGGCACCUUUACGCAGCUAGUGUAUACUAGACAUAGAAAACCUGAAUUCAUGAAGCGCUUUGACCUUGUGUUAAGGCUGAAACCUUUUACCGAAUAAUAAAGGUUGCGCUAGAAUCUUGAUUUACAACAAUUCCUUAUUUCACGAAAAGAAAACAAUUCCUUAUUUGUUAGGCGCCAGUUUUUAGCUGAAAUGCCAAAGAAUCAAAAGUGGAAUGCGUUUUGAUGUCGUGAUCAAAAGCAAUAUUUUUCCUUCCAUUCCAUGCUCGAUUGACAAUUAUUUUCUCAUUAUUUCCCUUCCUUGUUAUGCAUCCGAAACUGCGGCGGGUAACAAAAUAGGAAUAUGGCGCCAGAACUUUUAUCUCUUCCCGCCAGCAACCCCCGCGUACACUAUAUAUAUGCUCAUACGUCCGUGCCCAAGCAACCAUCACCGCACCCAGCCCAUACUUUCUAUAUGGCGCGAGAGCUGCCUUUUUUUGUUUCCUCUCCCGAUUUAGUCUUCCUCUCGGAUGAUGAGGGAGAAAAGGAGGUGAUCAAGAUUGAGGAUUCAGACUGCGGUGGCGACACGCAUGUCUACCUCAGCUCUGACGAGGAGGACGACGCGGUCUACGCCGAUGAUGGCUCCUCCUACGCCAACUGCAAAGCCGCAUCUGCGGCUGCCACGUCUUUGGCCACGGUGAGCUGCACCGACUAUGGCGACGACAACCCCAAUGGCGGCGACUCUAAUGGGGACGGCAACCCCAACAACAGCUACUUCGAUGACAACGACAACGACUCUGAAUAUGGCGGUGACGACGCCAGCGAUUUUUCGUCGGCCGCCACAAGUAAGUCGCCAAAAGCCCCAUACAAUUAUUGGCAUCCCACCGACCUUUGCACCCUCGUGGAAAUAGAUGGGCAGCUCCUCAAGGAUUUUGAAGGCGCGACAGUACCAUCGUCUGUGCUCUAUGAGGCGUUUAUGGAGGAUCCACGGCCGAUCCGCCGUGGCGGGCUGACCUCAAGAAAAAUCUCAUACAAAAGGUAUCAGUUGAAAAAAAAAUUUCGUGCCUUCUGCAAGUUGGAUCCGAGGCGUGCCUUCCGCACGUGUCGCACGGCUCAAGAACGCAAGUUUUACACCUGCUGCAAGGAGGCGUGGCCUCAUAUUGUAGAAGAGGGCCGUGCCUGACUUGCUAAUAAGAAGUAAACCACAGUCAUGUUCAAUCCGGUCUUUUUUUGGUUUCACCAAUAAACAAUAGUAGCUUUCUUUCCCAUUUUUUCCAUGAUCAGUAUUACUCUGGAUUUGAUCUGUUUUUCCUUUGCUUGUAUUAGUUUAUUUUUCUUUUGCUUUGUAUGAGAUUGUUCAGUACAAGAAUCAUCAGUACUUUUAUUUAGCAGUCCACAAUUUUAUUUUGUUUUAUUAUGUUUUGUUGUGGGGACAGAGGGGCCUGAUGUGUCCACCUGCUCGACAUUUCGUUGUAGAUAUAUGUGCGUACUUUUUUAAAUACCCUUUAUUAAUUGUUCUGGCCAACAGGAUGACGAUCUUCUCGCCUGAACCGGAAAACAUGCAUAUGUGCCCAUUAUAUAUUGAUUCGAUGUCCAAAUGAUUUCCCACGUAGGCAUGCAUGGGUGGGAACUUCCUGAACCGGAAAACAUGAGUAAUAGGUAGAGAAGAUAUGUUUCUUUUUUAUUUGUUAAUUAUAUCAUGACACUUGACAAUAGAGAAGUAUAUCCGGAAUGUCCUACAUGUCAUAUCAAGCAUUAAGUUCAGAUUUCACCUGUUUGCAGGCUCACGAAAGCAUCAGGUAUAGCUAAGAGAUGAACCGCAUGGUUGGUGUAUAUUUCUUAAUUACUACAAAAAUACUUGGAAAUUUGUAAAAAUCAAUACUUCAAGCGAAUAUGCAUGAACCACAUGGUUGAUGUAUAUAUCUUAGUUCAGAAAUUCUUGCAAAUUGGUAAAGUCAAUACUUCAAACAAAUUUUCUUAGUACAGAAAUUCUUGACUGGAAGACACACGAAGCAUGAAUUGCAUCUAAAGAUUAUUUUCUGUACAGGAUUCAAGAUCUAGAUCUGAAAUAUUGUAGCAUGAUAUCAGUGGUCACAACAGUAAAUUAUUCCUUCCAUUACUCUUUCAAAAGAAGCACAGAGAAUUCUACUGUUCUAUAUAAAGAUUAUUGCUAGUGUUCUCGUUUGUGAGUCCCAUGAAUCCAAGUGCCAAUCUUAGUGACCGAAAGACAUACUCCCUCCGUCCGAAAAUACUUGUCACGGAAAUUGAUAGAAAUGGAUGUAUCUAGAACUAAUAUACAUCUACAUACAUUCAAUUUUGCGACAAGUAAUUCGAUACUGACUAUAAAGCAGUUAUCUCAUUAAAAAUCAGUGUCUUCAUGCUCCUAGAAAGAGUACACAAUAAGCUAAGGGACGAAAAAUGAAUUGAAACGUACUAUUUGCAUGUCAUGCAAACUGCAAGAUGCGGACCACUGCCCCACUGCAUGUCCGGCAUUGCUCAUCUGUUAACAGAAACAACGCCAAAGCUCAAAAAAUCUUCUAUCCAGGAAAACCGUAGGGGAAGUGUUGCUUCACAGACAACAAUAAGUAGUCAGUACAUUGUUAUUGUUUUCCCUGCUGGUGAAUCUGCACCACAUUUCUCUCAUCUUCCAUUCGACAAUCACAUGCCAAUGUUUUCUGUAACACUUGAAAAGAGAAGGGAAAACACAACAGUUAUUUGUAUAGAAAAGAUGUUGGAAAAUCCUAUAAGGAUUUUUUUAAAGAAAAUGUAAGGAACUAUUGCCAUAACACGAAUACAACAUAGGGCCACUGAUUUUGAUUCGAACUAAAUAAACCAUACUAUUAAUGUUCUUUGACUGACAAAUUCUGAAGCAUUCCUUGAACAUAAAUGAAAGCUACCGAAUUACCAGGUAACCGAUACAACUAUUGGUACUUGUUUAAGCACAUGUCUCGAAAUUGAAUUUUACUUUUGUUUGUGAAACAUGAAAGGACUCAAUUAGCUAGCUGCUAUGUGAGAAGGUUUUGGAUCCCAAGCGGACCUUUUUUUUCGAGGGGCACCGGAAUUUGCGGUUACCAUGGUAACCAUGAAAUAGCGGAAAAGAAUCGGACGAAAUUUAAAUUUAAAUAUUAUUUAGGUCGAUACAGAUAGAUAUUUAACUAUAUAAUAUAACAAACUUUGCCAUGGCGUAUAGUGGCUAUUGGACCGUAGCUUUCGCUUGCUCGUACGCCGCGAGUUCGACCCUUUUUUAACUUUUGCAUCCUAUGAAAAUUAAAAAAUGCGUGAGCCCAGAUUCAAACCCGCGAUUCGUUGCUGAGGAAAGAUGCCCUUGCUACUAGGCCACUCCCAGUUAUGUCGUGAUACAAGAGAUUGUUUGUAUUUAACUCUAUAACAUGCGUUUGAAUUCAAAAUUUUCAAAUUAUCCGAGAUAUUUUGCUCGGUAUGAGUGUUUCUCGAGGGGGGAUAGUAAACGCGGUAACCGCCCGAAAUCACGAAAUUUCGUUUAGUAACCAAAUCAGUGGAUCAUACCCAUUGCAUUUUUAGCAACUCUCAUAAGCCGUUCUUACCUGUUCUCACAGCUCAUGAACAUACAAUAUAUGAUGAAACUUUGCCAGAUAACAAAGAUGCUUAACUGGCAGCAAGAUGUAUCCUAUAGUAUCAUGUUUUUAUUUCUGAGUAAUUGGUUAACCUAUGCUACCUUAGUUAAGCAUUCAAGAAAAUGAAGUUGCCUCUGUGUUUUAAGCUAAAGCUACCACAGUUCUGUGAGACUUAUCAUUCCAGAUAAUGUUCACACAACUUAAAUGAGUAACAUAAGUGCAAUUUUAAUUUUUAGUACAAAUGUACAAUGACAAGCUCAUGUACAAUUAUUUACUGAAAAAAUAAGCCAGCUCAUUUGGAAGGGAAGAAGCUAGAGAAAUGCCAGCAAUGUAACUUUACCUAGAACACAGACACUAGUAGAAAACAGGGCUUUGGUUGAGCCCUGGGUAAGGGCAUUAAUUCCGGUUCACUCCCGAACAGGGACCAAAGGGGGCAUCGGUCCCGGUUCGUGAGGCCAGGGCGCCGGCCGGGCCUUGGGGGCCAUUGGUCCCGGUUCGUCUGACCCCUUUGGUCCCGGUUCCAGACACACGAACCGGAACCAAUGGGCCUUGCUCCUGGCCCAACAUCUUUUGUCCCGGUCGGUGGCUGCAACCGGGACCAAAUGUUGUCCUUUAGUCUUGGUUUUAGCCACCAACCGGACUAAAGAGAUCCCUAUAUAUAGCCCUGCCCGUGAACAGAGCCAGUGCUCUAUGUUUUUGGCCGGCCGUGGGAGAGGUGUGUGUUGCUCUAGUUCACCUUCUAUGCACAUGAGGUGUUCGAUGAAAUGCCCGAGCCACACUUAAGCUUUCUCCUCUCCAAGCUCCUUCUCCAAGCUCCAUUUUCCUCAAGAUUUGUCUAGGUUUGGCGUUUCAUCCUGUCCCGUCCCCAUCCUCACCGCCGUUGAUUGCCCGCGCCGAUCUCGUCACCGGCACCACCAUGGUGAGCCUCUUGUUCUUAUCUUCUUUCUAAAAGAAAAAAAUUCUACUUUUAUGAUUUAGAUUGAUACUUGUAUAAUUUUCUGUUCUUACUUUUAUUAUUGUUUGUUAUUAUAUAGUGCGAUGGUUUUGGUAUCCUGCCCUCGUCCUGUUUAUGAUUCGGAUGUGGUAUAUAUUAUCUUUUAUAACUAUUUGUUUCAUUUAGUAUUUAUGACAAUUAUGCCGACCAACAUGACAUAUAUGUUUUUAUCUAGGAGGUAUGUGAACCGGAAAUUCCAACCGACCCUCUUGUCAAGAGGUUAAAUUUAGUUGAAAAGGAAAACAAUUACUUAAUAUUUUUUUGAAAAUAAUUGAGGAGGAGAAGAUGAAAUUGGAUUUGCAUAUUGCAGAUGUCGUCGAUGAUCACAAGAUCAAGAUGGAUGCAAUGCGCGUGAAGAUUAGAAAGAUUAGGAACUAUGCCAUUCAUACUGAGGCUUGGUAUCAUUAUGCCGUUGGAUCAAUUGUUUCCUUAGUUGCAAUUAUGAUCGCAUUUGUUGUUGCAUUGAAAUAUUUUACAUAGUUUCAAUGUAUGGUUCAAUUAGAUGCUCUAGAGAGCUAUAUGUUGUCAAUGAGAACUAUGUAUGAACUUUAUGUAUUUAUUUUUUCUGUAAUAACAUUUGAUCACUACUAUACUUUGGUUUUAAUAUGAUGGUGAACUUCUAUUAAUUUGGUCACUUCCCUAUACAUGAUGUUCUGUAAUGGUUUUUGACACACUUAAUUAUAUAUAAUGCAUGUAGAUGAACCGGCAAUGGAUGUAUGGUGAAAGACGCACCUCCGAGUACAUUAAGGGCAUAUAUAAUUUUCUCGAAGUGGUUGAGGCAAACAAGAAGAAUGGUUUUAUGUUUUCUCCAUGCCCUAUCUGUGGGAAUACGAAGUCUUACUCUGACUCGAAAACCCUUCACAUCCACCUGCUUGACCAGGAUUUCAUGCCACACUAUAAUGUUUGGACCAAGCACGGAGAAAGAGGGGUUAUGAUGGAAGACAACAAAGAAGAAGAGGAUGAUGACAACUAUCAUCCCCCUGAAUACGGUGAUGCUGCAACGGAGGAAGAUGAAGAUCAAGAGGAACCAGAAGAUGUGCUCGAUGAUGAUCUUCAUGGGGUCUUUGUUGAUGCAAAGAGACAAUUCCAAACUGAAAGGGAGAAGUUGAAGUUCGAUCGCAUGUUAGAGGAUCACAAAAAAGGGUUGUACCCAAAUUGCGAAAAUGGCAAAACAAAGCUCGGUAUCACACUGGAAUUGCUGCAAUGGAAGGCAGGCAAUGGUGUAUCUCACAACGGGUUUGAGAAGCUACUAAAAAUAUUGAAGAAUAUGCUUCCAAAGGAUAACGAAUUGCCCAACAGUACAUACAGAGCAAAGAAGGUUCUAUGCCCUCUAGCAUUGGAGAUGCAGAAGAUACAUGCAUGCCCUAAUGACUGCAUCCUCUACCGCAAUGUGUACAAGGAUUUGAACACAUGCCCGGUAGGCGAUGCAUUGCGGUAUAAGAUCAGACGAGAUGACCCUGGUGAUGUUGAGGGCGAGCGCCCCAGGAAGAGGAUUCCUGCCACGGUGGUAUGCUCCUAUAAUACCAUGGUUGAAACGUAUGCUUAGAAACAAAUAGCAUGCCAAGUUGAUGCGAUGACACAAACAGGACGGUAAGAAACACGGGAAGUUUAGAGCACCCGCUGACGGGUCGCAGUGGAGAGAAAUCGAGAGAACGUGGGGGGGGGGGACUUUGGAGGUGACGCAAGGAACGUAUGGUUUGGUUUAAGCGCGGAUGUCAUUAAUCCUUUUGGAGAGCAGAGCAGCAAUCAUAACACCUGGCCCAUGACUCUAUGUAUUUAUAACCUUCCUCCUUGGUUGUGCAUGGAGCGGAAGUUCAUUAUGAUGCCGUGCUCAUCCAAGGCCCUAAGCAACCCGGCAACAACAUUGAUGUGUACCUAAGGCCAUUAGUUGAAGUACUUUUACAGCUGUGGAAUGGAAAAGGUGUAUGUGUGUUGGAUGAGCACGACCAGGAGGAUUUUGACCUACAUGCAUUGUUGUUUGUAACCAUCAAUGAUUUGCCUGCUCUGAGUAACCUUUUAGGACAAACAAACAAGGGAUUCCACGCAUGCACGCACUGUUUAGAUGACACCAAAAGUAUAUAUUUGGACAAAUGCAUGAAGAAUGUCUACAUGGGACAUCAUUGAUUUCUUCCGACCAACCAUCAAUGUAGAAAGAAAGGCAAGCAUUUCAAAGGUGAGGCAGAUCACCGGACGGGCAUUUUUGGUCUCAAGCACACUACACAACUCUACAGGAUUCUACCUUGGUGACCCCAUAUGUCAAUGAACACAAGAAUAUUCUGCGCUCCAAACACCCGGAGCAGUGUGACGACCGGAUUACAUGUGAACACAUCAGGACUUUCGGUAGUUGGUAGCAAACACAUCUCAUGGGUGACAACACUGUUGUAGAUGAGUUGUACUCGUUGGCCAGAGGACCAUCUUCGACUGUAUUAACUUACAAAGGGUACGAGAUAAAUGGGAAUACGUUUUACACGAUCGCCCAAGAUCAAAAGAGCACCAACAAAAACAGUGGUGUCCGCUUUGAUGCAGCAACCAAUAGGGGAAAGGACACAUAUUAUGGUUACAUAGUAGACAUAUGGGAAUUUAACUAUGGACAUGAUUUUAAGGUCCCUUUUUUCGGUGCAAAUGGGUUAAUCUGUCAGGGGACAGGGUACAGGUAGACCAAUAGUACGGAAUCACAACAGUGGAUCUCAACAAUCUUGGGUACACAGACGAACCAUCCGUCCUAGCCAAUGAUGUGGCGCGGGUUUUCUAUGUGAAGGACAUGUCUACCGAACCGAGAAAAAGAAAAGAUAAGGAAGCGAAUACAUCAUACGAUGAGCCAAAGUGCCACAUAGAUCUUUCAGGGAAAAGAGACAUCGUGGGAGUGGAGGGCAAGACAUGCAUGUCUAAAGAUUACAAAAAGUUUCAUGAAAUUCCUCCCUUCAAAGUCAAGGCUGACCCAAACACCCUGUUAAACGAUGAAGAUUAUCCAUGGUUACGGCGCAAUAAGCAAGGGACACACACAAAGAAAAAGUGAAGACUUUCUCUUCACAACUAUUCUGAUGAUUCCUUUGAUCUAGAAUAUCACUCUAGUUACAUGUUAAGAAAUGAAAUGCCUUUUGGAACAUAUGAGUUUUCAUCCGAAACCCUGAUACUUUGAAAGAGAUUGCCAUUUUGUACAUGAAGUGCAUCCAGUUUUUUCCGCAACCCUCUCAAUUUUGUAGCACAUGCUAUAUGGCUGAAAUGAUGAUAUCAUGCUAACUUUCAACCUUUUCAGAGUUCAUUUGUAGUGCUUUCCAAUUUCAGGGUCAUUUAGCUAAAAAAAUCAGUAAACGCAUGAAAAAUACAAAAUGAAGUCAGAAAUGGUUGAAAAUUGAUGAUGCGCCUUUUAAUGAUGGAUUUUGAACACACAAAAAGUCUGGAGUUAAAAUAAUUUCAAAAAAAUGAAAUCCCUUUGUAAGAGAGGAGUUUUCGUCCGAAAGCCUGAUACUUCGAAAGAGAUUGUCCAUUUUGUACACGAAUUGCAUCCAAUUUUUUUCGUAACUGUCUCAACUUUCUAGCACAUGUUAUGUGGGUGAUAUGAUGAUACCAUGCCUACUUUCAACCUUUCAAGAGUUUAUUUAUAGUGCUUUUCAAUUUCAGGGUAAUUUAGCUCAAAAAAUCAGUAAAUGCAUGAAAAAUACCAAAUAAAGGUAGAAACGGUUGAAAAUUGUUGAUGUGCCUUUGAACGGUGCAUUUUGGACACAUAAAAAGUAUGGGUUUAAAAUAAGUUCGAAAUCCCCCUCCUCACGCCUCGAGUCACCUCGCCACCCCAUCACCCGUCUUGUGCCCGCAUCCGCAGAAUUCAGAUGCAUAUUUUCUGGUGCAACAGCAAGCGUUGGAGGAUUUAAGCGCCAAACAAGAGAAAGUUAAUAAGCUUGCUAAGCAUCUUGCCAGCAUUAUGGGUACCCAGGAUAUUUUUCCUUGAGAUCUUCUGAAGUGGGUUUAGUCCUGGAUUUGUUUUGCUACGACAUUUAUUUGCGCUGGUCCCCAACUUUGACAACCAGUGUAUAUGAUAUGCUGCUUUGUUUCCUAUAUUUGCUCUGGUGGCGAACUUUGAUGUCUAGUGGAUGUAAUAUGUGUAAUAGCCGUGAUAGCCUAACAUUAGUUGCUUGCUUAUUUAUUUCCUUGUUGUCUUGUUUAUUUUUUUGCUUGUAGUCAUUGCAGUUUUUUUUCCGCGGUUUGCUAGUGGCCGCAAUAACCUAUUUUUUUAAAACUAGGCCACAAUAACCAUGGGCUAAUAUUUACUGAAGUGACAUUGGGCCUCCUACUGGCCGUAGAAACAGUGGGCCUUCUACGGGCCGUAGAAAUAAUGGGCCUUCUACGGGCCGUAGAAACAAUGGGCCUUCUGCGGGCCAUAUCAUCAAUGGGCCUUAUACGGGUCGUAUGAUCGAUUGGCCAAACAUGGGCCAAACAGACCGCAUUAUGUCCGUAAACGGGCUAGAGUUGGAAUCGUCCAUUCAUGGGCCAACCAUAACAGGCCAUCGUUAAUAGGCCGUAUUUGAUGAUGCUAUGAGAACGGUCCAACGUAUUAAUGGACCACAAACGGGCCGACUGUAACCACGGGCCGAAUUUGGCCCACAAGCAAAAAAUGACAGUAACGGGCCGUAAGUAAACGAACGAUGGAAAUGAGCCCAAGAAUAAAUGGGCUCUGAGAAGGCCGAAAGAUAACAUGGGUUGGAAACGGCCCAACGGAAUAACGAGCAGUUAAUGGGUAUAAAGUGAUACACUGUUCAUUACGGGCCAGUUUCACUACGGGCCGUUAAUGGGUGUAAAGUGAUACACUGUUCAUUACGGGCCAGUUUCACUACGAGCCGUUAAUGGGUGUAAAGUGAUACACUGUUCAUUACGGGCCAGUUUCACCAUGUGCCGUUAAUAGGCCAAGAGUUACAUAGGGCCUCAUAUGGGCCGAAAGACAUCAUGGGCCAUACAUGUGCCAGAAGUGAAAAUAGCCUGGAAUCAUAUUGGAUGGCCCAGAUGACGCUACUAGGCCUAAUUCGGAUAGGGAGUAACGGGCCUUGGGUUAGCGGGCUGUAAAUGGGCUAUAUGCGAAUAGGCCUUUAAUAGGCUUUCCAUGGGCCGGCCCGCCACCUUUUGACCAAGUCAAACGCGUCAGCCUUUUCACAGGAAUGGGCCUCUGUUGGGCCGUGCCACAUGUCUACGUACCAUAGGCGCCUUCCAUCCAAUGAGUGGAUGACAUCUGUCCCAACAAUGAGCCGACACGUGUUUCCUCCAGCCAAUGAUGAUUUUACACGUGGAAAAUCCUCAUUGGUCGGGGCUGUUAACGGGUUAUCAGGUCCAAAACCCGACCCGAUAGCUUAACGGUGUUCCAAUACGGUGGAUUCCACGUGUCGGUCACCCUUGACGAAAGUGUUGGGGAACGUUGCAUAAAAUAAAAAAAAUUCUACGUUCACCAAGAUCAAUCUAUGAGUUCAUCUAGCAACAAGAGAGGGGAGUGCAUCUACAUACCCUUGUAGAUCACGAGCGGAAGCGUUCAAGAGAACGGGGUUGAGGGGGUCGUACUCGUCGUGAUCCAAAUCACCGGAGAUCCUAGCGCCGAACGGACGGCACUUCCGCGUUCAACACACAUACGGUCAGUGUGACGGCUCCUCCUUCUUGAUCCAGCAAGGGGGAAGGAGAGGUUGAUGAAGAUCCAGCAGCACGAUGGCAUGGUGGUUGAUGCGGCAGAGUUCCGACAGGGCUUCGCCAAGCGACUAUGGGAGGAGGAGGUGUAGCAAGGGGGGAGGGAGGCGCCAGAUGUCAGGGUGAGGCUGCCCUCCCACCCCCCUCUUUAUAUAGGGACCCCAGGGGGGCGCCGGCCCUGGAGAUGGGAUCUCCCAAGGGGGGCGGCGGCCAGGGGGGUGGAGUGCCCCCCAAGGCAAGUCGAGGCGCCCCCUCCCCUAGGGUUCCCAACCCUAGGCGCAGAGGGGGGCCCAGGAGGGGCGCACCAGCCCACCAGGGGCUGGUUCCCCUCACACUUCAGCCCAUGGGGCCCUCCGGGAUGGGUGGCCCCACCCGGUGGACCCCCGGGACCCUUCCGGUGGUCCCGGUACAAUACCGGUGAACCCCAAAACUUUCCCGAUGGCCGAAACUCGACUUCCCAUAUAUAAUUCUUUACCUCCGGACCAUUCCGGAACUCCUCGUGACAUCCGGGAUCUCACCCAGGACUCCGAACAACUUUCGGUUUGCUGCAUACUAAUAUCUUUACAACCCUAGCGUCACCGAACCAUAAGUGUGUAGACCCUACGGGUUCGGGAGACAGGCAGACAUGACCGAGAUUGCUCUCCGGUUAAUAACCAACAGCGGGAUCUGGAUACCCUUGUUGGCUCCCACAUGCUCCUCGAUGAUCUCAUCGGAUGAACCACGAUGUCGAGGAUUCAAGCAACCCCGUAUACAAUUCCCUUUGUCAAUAGGUAUGUUACUUGUCCGAGAUUCGAUCGUCGGUAUGCCAAUACCUCGUUCAAUCUCGUUACCGGCAAGUCACUUUACUCGUACCGUAAUGCAUGAUCCCGUGACCAGACGCUUGGUAACUUUGAGCUCAUUAUGAUGAUGCAUUACCGAGUGGGCCCAGUGAUACCUUUCCAUCAUACGGAGUGACAAAUCCCAGUCUCGAUCUGUGUCAACCCAACAGACACUUUCGGAGAUACCUAUAGUGCACCUUUAUAGCCACCCAGUUAUGUUGUGACGUUUGGUGCACCCAAAGCACUCCUACGGUAUUCGGGAGUUACACGAUCUCAUGGUCUAAGGAAAAGAUACUUAACAUUGGAAAAGCUCUCGCAAAACGAACUACACGAUCCUGUUCUAUGCAUAGGAUUGGGUCUUGUCCAUCACAUCAUUCUCCUAAUGAUGUGAUCCCGUUAUCAAUGACAUCUAAUGUCCAUAGUCAGGAAACCAUGACUAUCUGUUGAGCAAUGAGCUAGUCAACUAGAGGCUCACUAGGGACAUAUUGUGGUCUAUGUAUUCACACGUGUAUUACGAUUUCCGGAUAAUACAAUUAUAGCAUGAAUAAAAGACAAUUAUCACGAACAAGGAAAUAUAAUAAUAAUCCUUUUAUUAUUGCCUCUAGGGCAUAUUUCCAACAGAAAGCACUUCUGUGACGCGCGAUUUAUCGUCAUGGAAGUGGACACUUCCGUGAUCAUAAUUUUGGUAAUGUCAUGGAACACUUCUAUGACAGCACAGGUAUGACUAUCUUCAUUCUGUCAUAAAAUCAUCAAGAAUGUACUCCCUCCGAUUCUUUAUACUCUGCGCAUAACUUUCGUUCAUUUCUCUCGUUUUACUCUGCGCGUUCCUACUUCUCCUAUGCUUUCCUCUUAUGCCCCCCAAAAGCUGCUGCAUGCAACCAUUUGCAGUUAAUACUUGCCAUCUCUCGUUGGCCAUGCAGAGUGGAGAGAGAGAGGUAGUUGAGGGAAUCAAGGCAACCGCAUGUGAGAGCCAAUCGGCUGCAUGCAAGUUAAUAACAAUCCAGCACUAAAGUAGGGGCAAAUUAGUCCCAGAAAGAUCAAGCGAGCCCUUUCUUGGCAUGCGUGUGAGAUGUUAUACACAAAGAAAAUAUGAUCGGAGGGAGUACAUGCAUGACAGAAAACACGACCUACUGUGACAAACACGUAUCAUCACGGAAGUGUAUUUCUUUUGUAGUGGCUCCUCGUACAACUUCUGGAGGUCGAGCACUCGAGCAGGGAGGGGUAGCCCUUCUUCUUUCAUCUCAGCACUCACAAGGGCAGAGCCAGUCAACCAGAAGCACGAGUUGACAUGGAUUCGACUUGUGGGCCGUCAGCCGCACGGCCUACUCACGAUCGACGACUUCCCUAGUGGCUUGCAGGCCCAAACUGGGCCCGUUGAGGGUGUACGCUGAUAUAUGCGUGUGGUGUGUGUUGCGUGAGGACCGGGAAGGGAGUUGGUGGCUUCGGCCAUGGCUAGUGUGUGUCAUGUGUGAGCUCGUGUAAGCAUUCAUGGCGAAUUGGCUAUAGAUCUGACAUCAAUACAAGUUAUACCCUCACAUCUGGCUUCAGAGCCGUUCCAUCCUGGAGAUUCCCCACCACCCACACCGCACCAAGUUCAGCGAAUUACGGCGCCGGCAAGCCAUGGAUGGGCUGUCGGCGGAAGGGUGCAGCAUCCACAAGCUCGUUAAAUCCACCAUCUCCGACGACCUCGAUCAGCGCCUCAAGGUACACAGCGAAGACCUCCUCAAGUCCAUGACCGAAUUGCUCCAAGAUUCGACCAAGACCUUGGACGGUCUCAUCACAGCAUGCGUCGACAGUGUUCACUCUGAUCUCCUUCUCAAAAUCUACCAGAUCCGCUCGGAUUGGGAGUGACGGGACAAGGCCGACUGCAAUGGCCGGAUUGGAGGGCCUUCCUCAUCAAGCAGAGACGCCGAAGAAAGCCAGGAUGCGGUUCCUGCUGAUUCCCAUGGAGCGGACAGGUUUAGUAAGUCCAAGGCUCACAACAUCUACGUCCCACCUCCGGCCAGGAGUGGGCGUGAAUUGCCUUCAGUCUUCCCGAGAGCUCAUCGCACUAGAUCAAGGUGAGUAGUACACUUCAUGGCCGAGAGUCGAGCUGUCGCGGUUAAAUGGCUCAAAUCCCAGGCUGGUGGCAAGCGAGAUGCGAGGACUGCUUCAAGCAAUGGGGCACGCACCACAGCAGAUGAAUAUCAUCCGCCACCACUCAAUUCGAAGGGGCAGCUGCUCACUAGUUGGAGUCUGUGCAGAGGAGAAUAGUGGGGUUAUAGUGGACUGAAUUUUGCAAUUUCCUGCAAUCGAGAUUUGGCCGUAACCAAUACUAGAAUUUGCUGAGGAAGAUGUUCCGAAUUGGUCAGACUAGAUUUGUCGAAGAAUAUGUAGAUCAAUUCUCUAAAUUGUAUGUCCAACUCACUACUUAUGAAAUCAUCCUUGAUCCACUGCAUUAUACCACCAGGUUCAUCGACGGGUUGAAACUAGGAGUCCGCAUGGCCAUUGCAAUGCAAAAACCCAGAGAUCUUGACACUGCGUACGAAUUAGCUCUGCUACACGAAGAAUUGUGAGAAGUAUCAUACCACCAAGCCAGUUCCACGACAAAAAGGAGUCCUGCAUCAUCCGGAUAGUAUGCUUACAAGUCCAAAAAUGCAGAAGAGCGUCGGCCAAUUGACAGUCAAAGGCCAGAAACUACUAAAGAUAAGUGGGUCUCUCUGAGGAAUUUCAGGAAGGCAAAAGGAUUGUGCUUCAUCAGUGGUGAAAAAUGGUCCAAGGACCAUCAGUGCAAGUCUACUGUGCAGCUACAAGUUGUGCAAGAACUCAUUGAGCAAUUACAGAGCCCUGCUACAUCCCUGGAUGAAUCUGAUAGUGAUUCUGACAAUUGGAUGAUGCUCUUAGCAGCUGCUGUAAGCAACAGUGUGUCAAAGUUGUCCUCACCUUACCAGUACUUCUACAAGGUAUUAAGCUAAGGUUUCUAGUUGACUCAGGGAGCACUCAUUCAUUCGUGGACAGUUCUCAUCAACAGAUGUUUCCAACAAUGACUGAAAUUAAGUCGGUUUCUGUCAAGGUUGCAGGAGGAGGGAAGUUGAGCUGUUCACAGCAGGUUAAACACUGCAAGUGGAGUUGUCAGGAAGAAAACUUUGUGCAUGAUUUCAGAGUCCUAACCCUUGGAGGAUAUGAUAGUAUUUUGGGCCUUGAUUGGCUAGCCAAGCAUAGUCCAAUGUACAUGGACUGGGAACAAAAAUGGCUCUCCUUCCAGUAUAAGGGCACUACUGUUACCCUACAAGGGGAAUUUCCUGAAGAGUGUGAAUUCACUGUCAUGGCAAUUUUUCAGAACAUCACUACUAAAAACAGUGAGCAGUUACCUGAGAUACAAGCUUUAUUAGACAAGUAUGCUGAGGUUUUUGCUCCCCCAACUAGUUUACCUCCCAGAAGGCAGUAUGACCACAGUAUUCCCCUGCUACCUGGAGCUCAACCAGUGUCUAUUAGACCAUACAGAAUUCCUCCUCACCUGAAGAUUUAAAUGGAAAAGCAGGUGGCAGAAAUGUUGUAGAGAGGGUUAAUUCAAGUGAGUAAUAGUCCUUUUUCUUCUCCAGCACUACUGGUCAAAAAGAAGGAAGAAGGAGCUUGGAGGUUGGUCAUAGACUUCAGACAUGUCAAUGCACUCACAGUGAAAAGCAAAUACCCUAUUCAUAUUAUUGAUGAGCUACUAGAUGAACUUGCUGGAGAUCAUUGGUUUUCUAAAUUGGACCUCAGAGCAGGAUACCAUCAGACCAGACUUGCAUCAGGAGAAGAGUUUAAAACUACUUUUCAGACACAUAUUGGUCACUAUGAGUUCACUGUUGUGGCCAUGGGGCUGACUGGGGAUCCCAAUACAUUCCAAGGAGCAAUGAACACAGAUCUAGCUCCAUCCUUGAGUGGUGAGGAUCGCUGUGUUGUAUGUUUCUUUGAUGAUAUUCUAGUUUUCAGCAAAUCCCUCAAGGAACAUCUCCUGCAUCUAGACAAGGUAUUGGGUAUUCUACUAGAAAAACAAUGGAACGUAAAACUCAGUAAAUGGGAAAAGCAAGAGAUUGCUUAUCUGGGUCAUGUCAUAAGUGACAAGGGGGUUUCCACUGAUGCCAGUAAAAUUACAGCUGUUAAGAAUUGACCAGUUCCUAUGGAUGUGAAGCAGGUCAGAGGAUUUUUGGGCUUAACUGGAUACUACAGGAAAUUUAUCAAAAACUAUGGUGUGAUUAGCAGACCUCUGACUGACUUGUUGAAAAGGGGGGCUAUAUUUGUGUGGACUCCCACUACUGAUUUAGCCUUCCAGACACCGAAGCAGGCUCUGAUUCAUGCUCCUGUAUUAGCCCUUCCAGAUUACUCCAAGCAGUUUGUGGUGGAAAUAGAUGCAUGUGAAGUUGGCAUUGGGGUUGUUCUUAUGCAGCAGGAUCAUCCAAUUGCAUUUGUCAGCAGGGCCUUGGGUCCUAAGAACAGAGGUCUUCCUGUGUAUGAGAAGGAAUACAUGGCAAUACUACUAGCUAUUGAGAAGUGGAGAUCAUACUUGCAAUUCCAGGAGUUCAUUAUCAAGGCAGAUCAGAAGAGUCUGGUUCACCCGUCUGAUCAAAGAUUGCAUACACCUUGGCAGGAAAAAGCACUCACCAAAAUGAUGGGCCUCAACUAUAAGAUCAUGUAUGAACUAACCGACCUUUGUGCUAUGCUUAGGAUUCGGUCUUGUCCAUCACAUCAUUCUCCUAAUGAUGUGAUCCCGUUAUCAACGACAUCCAAUGUCCAUAGCCAGGAAACCAUGACUAUCUGUUGAUCACAACGAGCUAGUCAACUAGAGGCUCACUAGGGACAUAUUGUGGUCUAUGUAUUCACACGUGUAUUACGAUUUCCGGAUAAUACAGUUAUAGCAUGAAUAAAAGACUAUUAUCAUGAACAAAGAAAUAUAACAAUAACACUUUUAUUAUUGCCUCUAGGGCAUAUUUCCAACAGUCUCCCACUUGCGCUAGAGUCAAUAAUCUAGUUACAUUGUGAUGAAUCGAACACCCAUAGAGUUCUGGUGUUGAUCAUGUUUCGCUCGCGAGAGAGGUUUAGUCAACGGAUCUGCGACAUUCAGAUCCGUAUGUACUUUGCAAAUUUCUAUGUCUCCAUCUUGGACAUUUUCACGGAUGGAGUUGAAAUGACGCUUGAUGUGCCUGGUCUUCUUGUGAAAUCUGGGCUCCUUCGCAAGGGCAAUAGCUCCAGUAUUGUCACAGAAAAGUUUGAUCGGCCCCGACGCACUGGGUAUGACUCCUAGGUCGGUGAUGAACUCCUUCACCCAAAUAGCUUCAUGCGCCGCCUCCGAGGCUGCCAUGUACUCCGCUUCACAUGUAGAUCCCGCCACGACGCUCUGCUUGCAGCUGCACCAGCUUACUGCUCCACCAUUCAACAUAUACACGUAUCCGGUUUGUGACUUAGAGUCAUCCAGAUCUGUGUCGAAGCUAGCGUCGAUGUAACCCUUUACGACGAGCUCUUCGUCACCUCCAUAAACGAGAAACAUGUCCUUUGUCCUUUUUAGGUACUUCAGGAUAUUCUUGACCGUUGUCCAGUGUUCCUUGCCGGGAUUACUUUGGUACCUUCCUACCAAACUUACGGCAAGGUUUACAUCAGGUCUGGUACACAGCAUGACAUACAUAAUAGAUCCUAUGGCUGAAGCAUAGGGGAUGACGCUCAUCUCUUCUUUAUCUUUUGCCGUGGUCGGGCAUUGAGCCGAGCUCAAUCUCACACCUUGCAAUACAGGCAAGAACCCCUUCUUAGACUGAUCCAUUUUGAACUUCUUCAAAAUCUUAUCAAGGUAUGUGCUUUGUGAAAGACCUAUGAGGCGUCUCAAUCUAUUUCUAUAGAUCUUGAUGCCUAAUAUAUAAGCAGCUUCUCCAAGGUCCUUCAUUGAAAAACACUUAUUCAAGUAGGCCUUAAUGCUGUCCAAGAAUUCUAUAUCAUUUCCCAUCAAAAGUAUGUCAUCUACAUAUAAUAUGAGAAAUGCUACAGAGCUCCCACUCACUUUCUUGUAAACGCAGGCUUCUCCAUAAGUCUGCAUAAACCCAAACGCUUUGAUCAUCUCAUCAAAGCGAAUAUUCCAACUCCGAGAUGCUUGCACCAGCCCAUAAAUGGAUCGCUGGAGCUUGCAUACUUUGUUAGCAUUCUUAGGAUCGACAAAACCCUCCGGCUGCAUCAUAUACAGUUCUUCCUUAAGAUGCCCGUUAAGGAAUGCCGUUUUGACGUCCAUCUGCCAUAUCUCAUAAUCAUAGUAUGCGGCAAUUGCUAACAUGAUUCGGACGGACUUAAGCUUCGCUACGGGAGAGAAAGUCUCAUCGUAGUCAAUCCCUUGAACUUGUCGAUAACCCUUAGCGACAAGUCGAGCUUUAUAGAUGGUGACAUUACCAUCCGCGUCCGUCUUCUUCUUAAAGAUCCAUUUGUUUUCUAUCGCUCGCCGAUCAUCGGGCAAGUCAGUCAAUGUCCAUACUUUGUUUUCAUACAUGGAUUCUAUCUCGGAUUUCAAGGCAUCUAGCCAUUUGUUGGAAUCUUGGCCCGCCAUCGCUUCUUCAUAGUUCGAAGGUUCACCGUUGUCUAACAACAUGAUUUCCAGGACAGGGUUGCCGUACCACUCUGGUGCGGAACGUGUCCUUGUGGACCUACGAAGUUUAGUAGCAACUUGAUCCGAAGUACCUUGAUCAUCAUCAUUAUUUUCCUCUUCAGUUGGUGUAGGCAUCACAGGAAUAUCUUCCUGAGCUGCACUACUGUCCCGCUCAAGAGGUAGUACUUCAUCGAGUUCUACUUUCCUCCCACUUACUUCUUUCGAGAGAAACUCUUUUUCCAGAAAGCAUCCGUUCUUGGAAACGAAGAUCUUGCCCUUGGAUCUUAAGUAGAAGGUAUACCCUACAGUUUCCUUAGGGUAUCCUAUGAAGACGCAUUUUUCCGACUUGGGUUCGAGCUUUUCAGGUUGAAGUUUCUUGACAUAAGCAUCGCAUCCCCAAACUUUUAGAAACGACAGCUUAGGUUUCUUCCCAAACCAUAAUUCAUACGAUGUCGUCUUAACGGAUUUAGACGGUGCCCUAUUUAAAGUGAAUGUGGCUGUCUCUAGAGCGUAUCCCCAAAAUGAUAGCGGUAAAUCGGUAAGAGACAUCAUAGACCGCACCAUAUCCAAUAGAGUGCGAUUAUGACGUUCGGACACACCGUUUCGCUGAGGUGUUCCAGGCGGCGUGAGUUGUGAAACGAUUCCACAUUUCCUUAAGUGUGUGCCAAAUUCGUGACUUAAAUAUUCUCCUCCAUGAUCUGGUCGUAGGAACUUUAUCUUUCGGUCACGUUGAUUCUCCACCUCAUUCUGAAAUUCCUUGAACUUUCCAAAGGUCUCAGACUUGUGUUUCAUCAAGUAGACAUACCCAUAUCUACUCAAGUCAUCUGUGAGAGUGAGAACAUAACGAUAUCCUCCGUGAGCCUCAACACUCAUUGGACCGCACACAUCGGUAUGUAUGAUUUCCAACAAGUUGGUUGCUCGCUCCAUUGUUCCGGAGAAUGGAGUCUUGGUCAUCUUGCCCAUGAGGCAUGGUUCGCAUGUGUCAAAUGAUUCAUAAUCAAGAGACUCUAAAAGUCCAUCAGCAUGGAGCUUUUCCAUGCGCUUGACACCAAUGUGACCAAGGCGGCAGUGCCACAAGUAUGUGGGACUAUCAUUAUCAACUUUACAUCUUUUGGCAUCUACACUAUGAACAUGUGUAAUAUUACGCUCGAGAUUCAUUAAGAAUAAACCAUUGACCAUCGGAGCAUGACCAUAAAACAUAUCUCUCAUAUAAAUCGAACAACCAUUAUUCUCAGACUUAAAUGAGUAGCCAUCUCGUAUUAAACGAGAUCCAGAUACAAUGUUCAUGCUCAAACUUGGCACUAAAUAACAAUUAUUAAGGUUCAAAACUAAUCCCGUAGGUAAAUGUAGAGGCAGCGUGCCGACGGCGAUCACAUUGACUCUGGAACCAUUCCCGACGCGCAUUGUCACCUCGUCCUUCGCCAGUCUCCGUUUAUUCCGCAGCUCCUGCUGUGAGUUACAAAUAUGAGCAACGGCACCGGUAUCAAAUACCCAGGAGUUACUACGAGUACUGGUAAGGUACACAUCAAUUACAUGUAUAUCAAAUAUACCUUUGGUGUUGCCGGCCUUCUUAUCCGCUAAGUAUUUGGGGCAGUUCCGCUUCCAGUGACCCUUCCCCUUGCAAUAAAAACACUCAGUCUCAGGCUUGGGUCCAUUCUUUGACUUCUUCCCGGCAACUGGCUUACCGGGUGCGGCAACCUCUUUGCCGUCCUUCUUGAAGUUCUUCUUACCCUUGCCUUUCUUGAACUUAGUGGUCUUAUUGACCAUCAACACUUGAUGUUCUUUCUUGAUUUCAACCUCUGCUGACCUCAGCAUAGAAAAUACUUCAGGAAUGGUCUUUACCAUCCCCUGCAUAUUGUAGUUCAUCACAAAGCUCUUGUAGCUUGGUGGGAGCGACUGAAGGAUUCUGUCAAUGACUGCCUCAUCAGGGAGGUUAAUAUUCAGCUGGGUCAUACGGUUGUGCAACCCAGACAUCUUGAGUAUGUGCUCACUGACAGAACUAUUUUCCUCCAUCUUACAACUAUAGAACUUGUCGGAGAUGUCAUAUCUCUCGACCCGGGUGUGAGCUUGGAAAACUAGUUUCAGCUCUUCGAACAUCUCAUAUGCUCCGUGAUGCUCAAAACGCUUUUGGAGCCCCGGUUCUAAGCUGUAAAGCAUGCCGCACUGAACGAGGGAGUAAUCAUCAGCACGAGACUGCCAAGCAUUCAUAAUGUCUUGGUUCUCUGGGACGGGAGCGUCACCUAGCGGUCCUUCUAGGACAUAUUGUUUCCUGGCAGCUAUGAGGAUGAUCCUUAGGUUCCGGACCCAGUCCGUAUAGUUGCUGCCAUCAUCUUUCAGCUUGGUUUUCUCUAGGAACGCGUUGAAGUUCAUGUUGACAUGAGUGUUGGCCAUUUGAUCUACAAGACAUAUUUGCAAAGGCUUUAGACUAAGUUCAUGAUAAUUAAGUUCUAAUCAAAUUAUGAACUCCCACUCAGAUUACACAUCCCUCUAGUCAUCUAAGUGUUACACGAUCCGAGUCGACUAGCCUGUGUCCGAUCAUCACGUGAGAAGGACUAGUCAUCAUCGGUGAACAUUCUCAUGUUGAUCGUAUCUUCCAUACGACUCGUGUUCGACCUUUCGGUCUCCGUGUUCCGAGGCCAUGUCUGCACAUGCUAGGCUCGUCAAGUUAACCCUAAGUGUUUUCGCUGUGUAAAACUGUCUUACACCCAUUGUAUGUGAACGUAAGAAUCCAUCACACCCGAUCAUCACAUGGUGCUUAGAAGCGACGAACUGUAGCAACAGUGCACAGUUAGGGGAGAACACUUCUUGAAAUUUUGUAAGGGAUCAUCUUAUUUACUACCGUCGUCCUAAGUAAACAAGAUGCAUAAAAAUAAUAAACAUCACAUGCAAUUAUAUAGUUGUGACAUGAUAUGGCCAAUAUCAUAUAGCUCCAUUGAUCUCCAUCUUCGGGGCUCCAUGAUCAUCUUGUCACCGGCUUGACACCAUGAUCUCCAUCAUCAUGAUCUCCAUCAUCGUGUCUUCAUGAAGUUGUCACGCCAACGACUACUUCUACUUCUAUGGCUAACGCGUUUAGCAGUAAAGUAAAGUAGUUUACAUGGCGUUCUUCAAUGACACGCAGGUCAUACAAAAAAUAAAGACAACUCCUAUGGCUCCUGCCGGUUGUCAUACUCAUCGACAUGCAAGUCGUGAAUCCUAUUACAAGAACAUGAUCUCAUACAUCACAAUUCAUCAUUCAUCACAACUUCUGGCCGUAUCACAUCACAUGAUCAAUCGCUGCAAAAACAAGUUAGACGUCCUCUAAUUGUUGUUGCAUCUUUUACGUGGCUGCAAUUGGGUUCUAGCAAGAACGUUUUCUUACCUACGAAUAACCACAACGUGAUUUUGUCAACUUCUAUUUACCCUUCAUAAGGGCCCUUUUCAUCGAAUCCGCUCCAACUAAAGUGGGAGAGACAGACACCCGCCAGCCACCUUAUGCAACUAGUGCAUGUUAAUCGGUGGAACCGGUCUCACGUAAGCGUACGUGUAAGGUUGGUCCGGGCCGCUUCAUCCCACAAUACCGCUGAAGCAAGAAAAGACUAGUAGAGGCAAGCAAGUUGACAAGAUCCACGCCCACAACAAAAUUGUGUUCUACUCGUGCAAAGAGAACUACGCAUAGACCUAGCUCAUGAUGCCACUGUUGGGGAACGUUGCAGAAAAUAAAAAUUUUUCCUACGGUUUCACCAAGAUCCAUCUAUGAGUUCAUCUAAGCAACGAGUCAAGGGGAAGAGUUUGCAUCUACAUACCACUUGUAGAUCGAGUGCGGAAGCGUUCAAGGGAAUGGUGAUGAUGGAGCCGUACUCGUCGUGAUUCGGAUCACCGAUGACCAAGUGCUGAACGGACAGCACCUCCGCGUUCAACACACGUACGGGACGGUCGACGUCUCCUUCGUCUUGAUCCAGCAAGGAGGAAGGAGAGGUUGAGGAAGGUAGCUCCAAGGGCAGCACGACGGCGUGGUGCAGUUGGUGCAGCAGUAUUCCGACAGAGCUUCGCCGAGCACGUACGGAGGAGGAGAGGUGUUGGGGAGGGGAGGGGCUGCGCCUUGAGUUGUGUUGUUGCAGCCCUCCCCUCACCCCUCUAUAUAUAGGAGGAGAGGGGCAAGGGGGNNNNNNNNNNNNNNNNNNNNNNNNNNNNNNNNNNNNNNNNNNNNNNNNNNNNNNNNNNNNNNNNNNNNNNNNNNNNNNNNNNNNNNNNNNNNNNNNNNNNNNNNNNNNNNNNNNNNNNNNNNNNNNNNNNNNNNNNNNNNNNNNNNNNNNNNNNNNNNNNNNNNNNNNNNNNNNNNNNNNNNNNNNNNNNNNNNNNNNNNNNNNNNNNNNNNNNNNNNNNNNNNNNNNNNNNNNNNNNNNNNNNNNNNNNNNNNNNNNNNNNNNNNNNNNNNNNNNNNNNNNNNNCCUAGGCGCAUGGGCCCAAGGGGGGGGCGCCAAGCCCACCAGGGGCUGGCUGCUAUCCCUACGCAGCCCAAGUGGCCCCCCGGGAGGGGUGGUCCCUCCCGGUGGACCCCCGGAACCUUUCCGGUGCCCGUUUAACAACUUCCCAUAUAUAAAACUUUACCUCCGGACCAUUCUGGGACUCCUCGUGACGUCCGGGAUCUCAUCCGGGACUCCGAACAACAUUAGGUAAUCACAUACUUGUCUUCCUGAUAACCCUAGCGUCACCGAACCUUAAGUGUGUAGACCCUACGGGUUCGGGAGACAUGCAGACAUGACCGAGACUCUCCGGUCAAUAACCAACAGCGGGAUCUGGAUACCCAUGUUGGCUCCCACAUGCUCCUCGAUGAUGUCAUCGGAUGAACCACGAUGUCGAGGAUUCGAUCAAACCCCGUAUACAAUUCCCUUUGUCAAUCGGUACGUUACUUGCCCGAGACCCGAUCGUCGGUAUCCCAAUACCUUGUUCAGUCUCGUUACCGGCAAGUCACUUUACUCGUACCGUAAUGCAUGAUCCCGUGACCAAACACUUGGUCACCUUGAGCUCAUUAUGAUGAUGCAUUACUGAGUGGGCCCAGAGAUACCUCUCCGUCAUACGGAGUGACAAAUCCUAGUCUCGAUCCGUGUCAACCCAACAGACACUUUCGGAGAUACCUGUAAUGCACCUUUAUAAUCACCCAGUUACGUUGUGACGUUUGGUACACCCAAAGCACUCUUACGGUAUCCAGGAUUUACACGAUCUCAUGGUCUAAGGAAGAGAUACUUGACAUUGGAAAAGCUCUAGCAAACGAACUAACCGACCUUUGUGCUAUGCUUAGGAUUGGGUCUUGUCCAUCACAUCAUUCUCCUAAUGAUGUGAUCCCGUUAUCAACGACAUCCAAUGUCCAUAGCCAGGAAACCAUGACUAUCUGUUGAUCACAACGAGCUAGUCAACUAGAGGCUCACUAGGGAGAUAUUAUGGUCUAUGUAUUCACACGUGUAUUACGAUUUCCGGAUAAUACAGUUAUAGCAUGAAUAAAAGACUAUUAUCAUGAACAAAGAAAUAUAAUAAUAACACUUUUAUUAUUGCCUCUAGGGCAUAUUUCCAACAGCAGGAUCAUCCAAUUGCAUUUGUCAGCAGGGCCUUGGGUGCUAAGAACAGAGGUCUUUCUGUGUAUGAGAAGGAAUACAUGGCAAUACUACUAGCUAUUGAGCAGUGGAGACCAUACUUGCAAUUCCAGGAGUUCAUUAUCAAGACAGAUCAUAAGAGUCUGGUUCACCCAUCUGAUCAAAGAUUGCAUACACCUUGGCAGGAAAAGCACUCACCAAAAUGAUGGGCCUCAACUAUAAGAUCAUGUAUAAAAAGGGAUCUAACAAUUCAGCAGUAGAUGCUCUUUCUAGAAGGCCUCAUGCAAAUUCUCAACUCCUAACAAUAUCAUAUGCUCAGCCCAGUUGGCUUGGUGAAGUUGUCAAGAGUUACUCAAAUGAUCCAAAAGCACAAGAGUUACUGUGCCAACUGACCCUACAACCAGGCUCCAAGGAUAAAUUUCAGCUAGUUAAUGGGAUAAUAAGGUACAAGGGCUGCAUCUGGGUGGGAAAUGAUAGUACAUUGCAUAUAAAAAUUUGCCAACCCUUCCAUGACACACGCCUAGGAGGGCACUCAGGUUUCCCAGUUACUUAUAAGAGAAUUCGUGCUCUUUUUAAGUGGGUUGGCAUGAAGAAAGUUGUUCAGCAGUUUGAGCAAUCUUGCUUAGUGUGUCAGCAAGCGACACCUGAGAGAGUGGCUUACCUUCGACUGCUAUCCCCAUUACCAGUUCCUACCAAGGCUUGGGCAACUGUAACAAUGGGCUUUAUCUCAGGUUUACCUCCCUCGGGUCAGUUUGACUGCAUUAUGGUCAUCAUCGACAAAUUUACAAAAUAUGGCCACUUUGUUCCUGUCAAACACCCCUACACGUCUUAGAAAAUUGUUGUUCUUUUCCUGGACAGUGUCUAUAAGCUUCAUGGCAUGCCUCUGUACAUUGUGUCAGAUCGGGAUCAUAUCUUUACCAGCAAUUUUUGGCAAGCAUUGGUUAAGAAAACUGGGAUUGUUCUUAACAUGAGCACUGCAUAUCAUAUGGAGACUGAUGGCCAAACCGAAUGAGUGAAUCAACAGGUUGAGUGUUUCCUAAGAUGCUUUAUCAGUGACCACCCGAAUGGUCCAAAUGGCUUUCUCUAUGCGAGUUCUGGUACAAUACAAACUGACAUUCAACUCUGAACAAAUCACCAUUUGAAGUUCUUUAUGGGCAUAGCCCCAGGUAUUUUGGGAUAUCAGUUUCAAAUAUAGUUGCUCCGGUUGAUUUGCAGCAAUGGUUGGAAGCCAGGGAAGUUGUGCAACAGUCAGUUUGUCAACACCUGUUGCGUGUGCAACGAUGAAUGAAACACCAGGCCAACAAGCAUCGCACAGAGAAGACAUUUGAAGUGGGUGACAGGGUGUUCCUCAAGCUCAAGCCAUAUGUGCAAUCGUCAGUGGCGCACAGGGCAAAUCACAAACUUGCAUUCAAUUACUUUUGGCCUUUCCCCAUUCUGGAGAAAAUUGGCGAGGUGGCUUACCGACUGCAAUUGCCAGCAGCUAGCCGUAUCCACCCGGCCUUUCAUGUUUUGCAGCUGAAGCGCUUCGUGCAACCACAUUACGAGGUAAUUGUCUCACUUCCUUGUGCCGAUGCUCACCUCCAAAUCCCUGUUAAGAUCCUGCAGGAGCGCAUUCGCCGCUCGGACAAUCAUUCCGUGGCUCAAGCCUUGAUGCAGUGGAGUGGUGGAGAUGCAUCUACAGCAACCUGGAAGGACAAGGACUCGCUUCGCCAGUUGUUUCCGCAAGCCCCGGCUUGGGGUUAAGCCGGUUCUAAAAGAGAGGGGGAUGUCAACGCUCACAAGGGCAGAGCCAGUCAACCAGAAGCACGAGUUGACGUGGAUUCGACUCAUGGGCUGUCAGCCGCACGGCCCACUCGCGAUCGACAACUUCCCCAGUGGCUUGCAGGCCCAAACUGGGACCGUUGAGGGUGUACGCCGAUAUAUGCGUUGUGUGUGUGUGUGUUGCGUGAGGAUUGGGAACGGAGUUGGUGGCUUCAGCCAUGGCUAGUGUGCGGCGUGCGUGAGCUCGUGUAAGCAUUUAUGGCGAAUUGGCUAUAGAUUGAGAUCAAUACAAGUUAUACCCUCACAUUCCGGAGGACAGAAUGAAACAUCCCCACCGGAAUAGCAGAUAGUGCAACAAGACGAUGGACGUGUGACGCCCCAAGACCGACGCUCCAGAAGACUUAUAGCUGGUCCAUGUUUCUCGUUGUCGCCGUGUGUUUUGUUUUGUUUGUUGCAUUCAUCAUUGCAUCAUGUCAUCAUGCAACCCUUUUUAAACCUCAGCUAAAUAAAUUGCAUAGAUCAUCGAUCUAUUUAAAUCGAGGGAAUUUACAUGGUGAUUUCUCUUUAGAACAUAUACUCCCAAUAUUAUUAGGGAGCUAUAAUAAAUAUUCCAUUAACUGGAAAUCACCCAUAACACAUUUACAUUAUUCUUCAACUCUUCUUUUAUCCGACUCAACUUUCUAUCCUUCCUUUUCGACGUUUUAGUAAAAUUGAGUUGCAAUUUUACUUCUCCAUAAAUGUUGCAAAUCUGCCCAUAAAUCACAUCUGGUGUGUAGGGUCACCCCCCUAUAAUUCCAACCCAUUUGGAGUUCAUUCGAAUGGGUUUUGAAAUUCAAACUUGUCUGAGUUAAAUCCAACAGGUGUGGAUAUUAUUUCCUCUAAAAAUCCUCAAUCUAUUUUUUUCAAAUUCUUCACAUUUUUGUGAGUCUGGGAAAAUAAUCCCCAUGCCCAAAUUCUAUCUCUACCUUCAUUUCUUCUUUUUUUUUCUUUGACAUUUUUCUGUUUUUGGGAGAGAGAAGAAGGAGAGCAGCCGCAGCUCAGCCUGCUCCCAGCAGCCGUCUCAGGCCACCGCGGCCUCCCGUAGCCCACCACCCAGGCCUAGGCCUAGUCGGCGCCCCUUUCUAACCUAACCCUCACCCGAUCCCCUUGUUAUCUCCCUCUCAAAUCCCCUCAUCCUCCUCCUUGCGCCGCCGCGAGGGCUUCUUGCCCGACCCCGUGCCACCUCGUCCCCGUAGCUCUUCAGCUCGCAGCCGCCGGCGAGCCCCGUCCACCACGCGCUACCCCGAGCCUCUUGCCAUCACUCUCCACCCCGCGCGCGACCAGCGCCGUCCUAUCCGCGCCGCCCCGUCCAGUUCCUCGUCGGUGACCCCCCGCUCCGGAUCCGCCUCCCAGGACCACGACCAGUGCCGCGGCUCCACGCCGUCUUCCGCAUCCCCGGCCUCCUCGUCGCCGUUUCGCCCGUCCCCGGCCACCGGUGCCCUCGCCGGAGCUCCCGCAAGCCGUCCCUGCCGCGCCCGACCUGUCCCUCGCCUCGCUGUUGCCCUGCUCCAGCGCCGCCUACCGACCUCCUCUGCUCCAGUCGUGGGCACCUCCUGCCUGAGAACCACCUUCGGCCACGCCAUGGUUCUCCUGCACCAGCUCUGUUCGACAAGGACGUCGCCCCGCUUCCUUCUCUUGCCGCGACCCAGAUCCCCCUCCUCACGCCUCGGGUCACCUCGCCACCCCAUCACCCAUCUUGUGCCCGCGUCCGUGUAGCACCAUCUCUGCUGCCCCCACGCACCUCCAAUGACCUCCCGAGGCAGGGCCAAGUACCACUACCAUCGCGUUUCGUUUCUUCAUCGUCAAGUACCAGGACGUCAGGACCCGUCAGGUUUAUCUACGUGCAUGUAUGACUAUCUUCGCCAUAGACCCGUGUACGAUUACGCAACGAACUGUGGAGUUACACGAGCUACCAGUACCGCGACGACCCCGGAGACUGUAUUCUGUCAAGUUCCUACAAUAUGUGUACAACUACUUCCACAACAUGUCGUGUAUGACUACCGUUGCUCAGAUUCGACAAGACAACAUGUACCACUACCGUUGCCAAGUUCGACUGCCGCACGGUUACGCCAAGUUCAUCUAUGAAACAUGUACAACUACUUCCACUAUCGUCGCGAGAACGACUACUUCUACUACGGCCGGUAUACCACUACUUCCCUCGACGAACUCGAACCGCUCCGAAAAAGCACACUACAAAGGUAUAACCACGAGACGAUCACGCGUGGACCGAAUGCACGUGUGUUGUAUCAGGUGCUCAUGUUUGCAGCAUGUCCGAGUUGAUCCUUGCACGUUCCUCCUCGUUUGCCAUGCCGUCGACCCGUGGGAACCCGGUAAUCCGGGAUCACCCCGCCAUCUUUUGCAUGCUCACGCCCACACUUUCUUUUGCACCGGUAUCUCAACGACUUGCUGGAUCAUCGGAAUGUUGCCGUGGCACCAUUUCCGUUUUCAUUGCCGUGGCACCCCUUUUGUUCCGCCAUGGUGACAAAUGCUUCAUAUCUUAUAUUAUGUCAACAUUUUUAUAAAAAAUGCAUAAAACUUGAAUAUGUCAUCCGCGUCAUGAUAACAACAUUUAAAAUGUUUAAAGUUGUUGUUGCAUUAAAUUGCUAAAUAACAUAUGGGGAUUUUUCAGAAUUGUUGUUUGUUGUUUCCGGCAUCAUUUAAACUUGCCUAAAUAGGUGGUUUGCUCAUGUUUCACCUCUUUCCAUGUUAACCAACAUUUAAACUUGUCUUAUUCAUAAACGAGAGAGAACUAAAUAAUUGGAUGUGGUGUUUCGUCAAUAUGCAACUCGUUAUAUAUUGAGCUCCACUUAAAUUGUAGUGUUGUUUGUGCACUAUGCCAUGUCAUGCACAUUUAAACCGGACAUGCAUCAUACUUGAAUGUGCAUCAUGCCAUGUUAUGUGAUGAUUGUUUACCAUAUUGUUUGCUUCUUUCCGGUGUUGUUUCUUAGUUCCGGUAACGUUGCGGAUUGUGAGGAUUCGUUCGACUACGUCCGUUUGUCUUCUUCUUGGACUCGUUCUUCUUUUUUGCGGGAUCUCAAGCAAGAUGAUCAUUACCCUCGAUAUCACUUCUAUCUUUGCUUGCUAGUUGCUUCUUUCUAUCGCUAUGCCGGUUGAAGUUUUCAUGAGCAUAAGACAAUUGCAAGUCCCAGUUUGCUACAAGCAUGACAACCCGACACUUGGGGGUACAUGUGAUAUGCAUAUAAGGGAGGAAUAACUUCAAAUUCUCAGUUUUGAGCAAAUCAGGUAUUAUAUUAUUAUCAGAGAAAUCUGCAAAGUUUAUGACCCGGCGUCAUCAUAAGAUUAACCUGGCAUCAGCAACAAUUACAUGACCCGACAUCAUUUAUUUAUAACUCGGCAAAUUUGGUAAUCAUAAGUCGGCAAGAUUUACAUCUCUAAGCCGGCUGAAUAUCAAUUCAAUAUUUCAAAGACUAAUGUUUUUUCAAGUCAGAGCAUUGAAGGCCGACUCAAAUGGAUUAUUUCUUAUAAUAUUUCUCUACAAGAGCCAAUGUCAGCAAAUUGGUUAUGAAGCUAGCCUAUUGACCCCGAUUUUUUAGAAGAAGUGCCUGGAUUUUUUUGCAUUGGCAAGGUUUGGAAAUAUCUGUUAAAGGAUAUUUGUUAUAAGAUCUUGAGUAUGCAUCCAGGAGGAAAUGACAAGGACUUAAAGAUGAUCAGGUGCCGGUUCAAGAAAAUAUUUAACCCAGAGCACAGCCUAUCAAGUUUGUUCUUGUGUUUAUUUUAUAGGAUCAGUUUAACAUGGAUAAAUCCAAAUUAAACCGGGGGCUAAUGUCAGGGAUAUACCCCGCGGUAUGACCCGGCCGGGCUGGGCGUUUUCAUUGGUAACCUGCCGGAGUGGCGACUCACGAGCCCGGCGAUUCACGGAUGGCCCUGACGGCGGCUCAGAUAGAAGACAAGGCCCAAGGCCCAGAAGGCCGGCUCAUGCUAUGGUGGGCCGGCUUAAGAGAAAAGGCAUAGGGAAUAUUAUCCUACAAAGGAAGCAAGACUAGGACUCCACUUGUAAUAGAGUAAUCCUAGUCCUACUUGGACUAGUCAUGUAACCCGCCCCUUCAACUUAUAUAAGGAGGGGCAGGGCUCCCCAAAGAGGACAAGCAAGAAGAAACAAUCUCUAGGGAUAGACACAAGAGCCGGCUUACCGGCGACUCCCUCAUGAUCAUAAUGAGACCUAGCCACAAACAGCAUUUAGGGUUAUUACCGGAUGAUGUUUCCCGGGGCCCGAAGCUGUCUAAAUCCUUGUCUUGUGUGUUGAUUGCAUCGCGUCUCUCGAUUCCGACCAACACCUUCAAGCUACUGCAUAGAUGCGUUGGCCUCACGACUAAGUCCUCACACUAAGGAGAUCUAACGUGACAAUUCCACGGCACCAUCACUUGUUUACCAUGCCUCCCUUAUUGCCAUGUCAAGCCUCUAACCCACCUUCCUAGUAAACCGUUGUUUGGCUAAAUUCCCGCUUUUGGUCAGCCUCUCUUAUAGCGUUGUUAGUUGCAGGUGAAGUUGAAGAUUGCUCCAUGUUGGAACAUGAUUAUGUUGGGAUAUCACAGUAUCUCUUAUUUUUAAUUAAUGCAUCUAUAUAUUUGGUAAAGGGUGGAAGGCUCAGCCUUAUGCCUGGUGUUUUGUUCCACUCUUGCCGCCUUAGUUUCCGUCAUACCAGUGUUAUGUUCCUUGAUUUUGCGUUCCUUACGCGGUCGGGUUUAUGGGAACCCCCUGACAGUUCGCCUUGAAUAAAACUCCUCCAAGAAGGCCCAACAUUGGUUUUCCAUUUGCCUAACAACCUACAACCCUCCCUUGGGGUCUGUAGCCCCGAGGGUCAUCUUUAUUUUAACCCCCCCCCCCCNNNNNNNNNNNNNNNNNNNNNNNNNNNNNNNNNNNNNNNNNNNNNNNNNNNNNNNNNNNNNNNNNNNNNNNNNNNNNNNNNNNNNNNNNNNNNNNNNNNNNNNNNNNNNNNNNNNNNNNNNNNNNNNNNNNNNNNNNNNNNNNNNNNNNNNNNNNNNNNNNNNNNNNNNNNNNNNNNNNNNNNNNNNNNNNNNNNNNNNNNNNNNNNNNNNNNNNNNNNNNNNNNNNNNNNNNNNNNNNNCUCUAAUUGUUGGUCCGAACUAGAGACACUUGCAGCGCCACCUCGGGGAAACUUGAGGGAUGGUUUUUAGCUGUACGUAGUGUUCAUCCGGUGCGCCCUGAGAACAAGAUAUGUGCAGCUCCUAUCAAGAUUUGUUGGCACAUCUGGGCGGUCUUGCUGGUCUUGUUUUACCAUUACCGAAACGUCUUGUAACCGGGAUUCCGAGACUGAUCGGGUCUUUCUGGGAGAUGGAACAUCCUUCGUUAAUCGUGAGAGCUUGUGAUGGGCUAAGUUGGGACACCCUUGCGGGGUAUAAACUUUCGAGAGCCGUGCUCGCGGUUAUGUGGCAGACGGGAAUUUGUUAAUAUCCGGUUGUAGAGAACUUGACAUUUGACUUAAUUAAAAUGCAUUAACCGCGUGUGUAGCCGUGAUGGUCUCUUUUCGGCGGAGUCCGGGAAGUGAACACGGUUUGGGUUAUGUUUGAACGUAAGUAGUCUUCAGGAUCACUUCUUGAUCACUUCUAGGUGACGACCGUUGCGUACCUUCUCUUCCUACUCUUGUACUCACCUGUUAGCCACCAUAUUUUUCUUAUCAAUUGCUGCAACCCCAUCUCAUUACCACAUCCUACCCAUAAGCUUAAAUAGUCUUGAUCUUGCGGGUUUGAGAUGGCCGAGUCCUCGUGACUCACAGAUACUACCAAAACAGUUGCAUGUGCCGAUGAUAUCAGUGUAGGUGAUGCAACUGAGCUCAGUUGGGAUUUUGACGAAGUCCUUGGCAGUUACUAUGUUUUGUUUCCUGAUGAUCAGUAGUGGAGCCCAGUUGGGACGAGCGGGGAUCUAGCAUUUGGGGUUAUCUUCUUUUCAGUUGGAUUUGUCCGUAGCCGGACUAUGUGUGUACUCUGAAUGUUGUAUGUUUUAUUGAAGUACUUGUGUGAAGUAACGAUUGUAAGCCAACUCUUUAUCCCUUUCUUGUUCAUUACAUGGGAUUGUGUGAAGAUGACCCUUCUUGCGAAACAACCACAAUGCGGUUAUUCCUCGUGCCUCAACACGUGGGAGUUAUAGCCGCAUCGUGGGCGUUAUAGGACGCUUGCCUGUUGUGCCCGCACUCUAACACUAGAUGCACGGGUUCGCCGCACACUUGUCCUAUGUGGGUUGCCGGGACAUCAAGUAAGCCAAGACGUACUUCUUCCACAACGCUAUUGUGGUUUGUGUUGCACAAGCGGGUAGUGCGCCGCGGCAGGCCGCGCUUUGCUGGUAGUUUCGAGAUGUGUUGAUUUUUGUAUUUUGCAUAAACUUCUACAUGUAAAAAUAGUUAGAUAUUAGAGGCAAUACACCAUGCAGGUGGAUCAUUAAUUCAAGACCGUCUUACCACAAGAUUAGACGAUGGAACCAUGAACUUAAAAACUGUUAUGAAAUAUAGUGACCAAAGCAUGGACACAAUUUAUUAUCACUGUAGAGGGUGGCCAUCACUAUGCAUUAUUAACACGAAGUUAUUAUCUCUGAAAAAAUCUCAUGGAAAAGAAUAGAACAGUGGUAGAGAUUUCUAUAGAGCAUAGUCCUGCUUAAGAAUGUUGAACAAUCUGUCCUAUUUUUGCUUGAGCUUGGAAGAAUAAGACAUUCAAUAUAAUGAAUUUUAAACGAUACAAAAAUGUGGAUCAAAGUGAACUUUGAAAAAAAACUUAAUCUCUCCUACUACUAAAUGUAUACAUUGAUUUUUUUUCCUCACAAUUUUUUUACCCUCAGCUUCAUUCGAGCUAACAACUCAUAUAUUUUAUCAGUGCAGUUGUAAGAAAACAUAAAAGAGUUAUAAUUUUUUGCUUCCUCUAACCAGGUCCACAAUAAUCAAGCUACAAAUUACUGGAUGAAGUAAGUGGGAUGACCGGUAAAGUAAUUUGGAACCAAAGCAUGAUAAUAAGCAAAUUAUCAUCAUCCUAUAGAUAACAAUCAGAUAAAACAGAAGGAGCUGCAUGAAGCAAUUUUGAGUCAAGACUGUUUGCAGCAAGUUCUAUUACUGAUCCUUGAAUAACAGAACAAUACAAUAAUAAAGUGUACAUUUGUCAGACCCAUCACUGCUCACACGUGUGCACCUGCACUUGGGACCACAACGGUGCGGUGCACUAAAAAGUCUGAGAUCCACUCUCUUUCUCUCUAGCUUUCUCAAAUCUCCCUGCUCAUUCCCCACCUCCACCAUUCCCCCAUCUCCCUAGUGCAUUUGUUGCUCUCGUCGCCGGCUCUCGCUGCCCCAGCGUGGCUCAUCCGUCUCCUCUCCACUGGAAGUAGAAAUCGAGUGCUCCUCGCCCGCACAACACGCAUUGGCGAGGCACCUCCUCCGCCGGCUCCUCGCCUGCACAGCACGCAUCGGUGAGGAAUCGAUGCCACUCAAAGCAGUGGGCGGUCUGGAAAGGGAGAAACCGGCGGAGGAGGGAGGAUCUCGAAAGAGUAGGAGGAAGCGAGGCUGCGAGAGAGGCAGGGGAGAAGAGGAAGCGGCGGGGUAGGGUGUGGCGGUGGCAAAAGCUGCGGCAUGCUCGUCAUUGGGCAUUGAUGGCGGCAAGAGCUAGCUAGGCACGACAAGUCCUGAUGAGGUUCACCGUCCACGCGAUUCAUAUCCUCCAGUAUGGUCUCGUCGAUUGAUUCUCUCCUCUCGGGUACCUACUCACCCGACUGCUAAAUCUCCAUCUGUCUAAUUCACCUUUUCUGCUAACUGCAAGUCUCACACCAUGUCAGCGCAACCCGCGGUUCGACAUGGGACUUCGUUUGCUUCAUCUAGAACUUCUGCAUCAUGAGCCUCGCAAAGAUGGCCGCCAUGCUCUUUCUUCCUCUGUCUAGGUAAGCUACAUGAACAGUUUUAGUCGUGAAGCAAGUACACACUUGACUAUAGAAAAUACAUCAUUUUUUCUUCAGUCCACAACGCCAAAAGAAAAUACAGCGAUAAAUGCCAGCAAUUAAUCUUAUGUUAGUUAAUAACAAUGCAUAAGCCUGAAAUUAUCUUCAGUGUCUUAAAUCAAUAGUACAGGAGCACUAUGUAAAUUACUGGAAUAUAUUGAAACAUACCAGGCCUUGUUAUAUCAACAACAGGGACAUACAUAGGUGUUUCUAAAUUCAAUAAUCACUAAAGCAGAUCAGCGUUGCUCGUACUCUUAAAUUAAGAAUACAUACUACCUAUUUAGAUUCUACCUUUGAGCAGCAUAUAAGGAGUGCAAAUAUUAGCAUGAACCCAGAACUCGCUCAAAAUUACAACACAGCUUAACUGAGCAAAAUCAAAUGGCAGAGGAAGAUAUAAUAUGUACAUAUAAAAUUCCUAUUAUGGGCAUCUGCAAAGGCAGAAGAUCAAUACCCACACAUGAUGGUACUGAAACAAAUUCAUGUAACAUCGUCCAAGAAUGUUAGCUUAAGCAUACCAUGAUAAUCACAAAUCUAACGGUCGUUGGCUCUGGUCCAAUAUCGACACCUGCAAUUGCAGAAGAUCAAUUCUCACAGAUGAUGGUACUGAAACAAAUUGGCAAACGAAAGAAAAUACAUGUUGCAUGUACAUAAGCUGGGGAUAGUUUGUUCUCCAGGAGAUGCUUGACAAAAGUUGUUUUCCCCAUACUUUGUACUAAACUAGCGGGGUCGCCCGCGCAUUUGCACGGCUAGAUUAUUGAUUUUGUUGUGAAAAUAGUUGAAGUCCACUUAUUUUUAAUGCUAACAAUAUAUAUUAUAAUUCUAAUGGCCUUAUAAGUGAAACUUUGUAUCAUGCUUUUGGAAUAUUGGUGAUUUAUUGCUCCAAAUAAAUUCAAAUUUUAACAAAAGAAUUAGAGUAUCGCCUAAAAUAACGUACCCAAUUUGGAAUCAAAAUGCAAAAAUAUUGCAAUUAAAGCGUUUUUGUAGCCAUAUAAUAGUUGCGGGACAUGUGUGCCAUGGGGGUUGGCGUGAAGUUCCAUUGAGGAACUUGGACUCUAGGCCACGUGCAGCCGCUAGGCCACCUAAUCUCCUAUGGGUAGGUCAAUUAUCUCUUCCCUGCCACCUUAACCUCUCUUUCAUUCUUCCAUGUUCGCCUCUCUUGCAACUCUCACUCAUUGUACAACCAUUGAUUCUAUUUCUCUUUAGCUUCUCAAGCUUCACCGUGGCCCCCUUUAGACCGAGGUGACACUUAUAUUGAUAGCAAUAACUCCUGAUCGAGCACCGCUGUUGGGUGGUAGUUAGCUUUGAUGGUUUCACAUACAAAAUGUCAAAACUCAUUUGUCAAAUAAAAGAAGUUGUAGCCGGUGUCUAAAUCGUGAAAAAGUAUUAUGGACUCAAGUAUAUUUGUUUUAUCAUGUGUAGUAAGAUGUUAGCAAAGCAUUUCGUAUGUGACAACUAAAAACCAUAUUUGGGUUCACUUUUGGCACGCCAAACUAUAUAGUGGUGUCUGUCUUUUAUCCACAAUUUUAAGAAACAUCCCAACAAAACAUAAUACUUAACUCUGAUGUCUAGAAUAUCUUCCAACUAAUGUAUGUUGCUUAGCCAUCUAAGACAAUAUAAACUUAUUUGCAUAUAUUUGAAAAAAAAAAUCCAGAACUAACCUCACCUGCUAAAUAUUGCCUAAUCUAUGUAGCUGGCCAUUUUUCUUUAUUUUUAUCGUAGUACGGUUAUUUAUUUUCCUCAUAAAAGUUAUUAGCUUCUUUUAUCAUGGCAUUGCACACACUACAUUUGGUGACAGCGAGCUGGGUAGCCCUCGCAAUGAUGUGGCUAGAUUGUCUAAUAUAGAGACUAAAACAAAAUCAUAAAAUGUAUAGUACAAACAAUUUAGAGAAAUAUGAUUGUGUACUUUCGGACAAAGGUAUUUCCAUUUUAGUGCAUGGAUUGUAGCCAAGGACAUUUCUAAGUUAAAGCAAAGGAUAAAUGCUACAUUGAUGUGUGUCGCCCUUGAAACCAUAUACUGGAUUAUGCCUUUGUCUCAUCCAGUCCGCAUCCAUGGGCUAUGGAUUUCACAUUGAGUUUCUUAAAGACAUGCACUAUUUAUCCAACAAAUAAGUCACUCCAGAACAAACAAAAAAAUAUUUUUAGGAAAAUUAUAAGGAAAUUCUCCAAUGCAUAUAUUUGAACUAAAUAUAGUUCAUGAGGAUUUUUAGUGCAUGUGCCCAGUUUUUGCAGCAAAAACAUGGGUUACCCUCCCGUAAUUGGAGACAUCUUCUUUUUAUCCAUAUAAACACCUUAUACAUCUUUUCCUUCUAGUCCAUCAGGAGAAUGAUAUUUUUUGGAAGUGCACCUAUAAUGCGUGAGAUCAUGUACCAAGAAUACACCACGCGGGAAAUCAUUUUGUUACUGUUUUAUUUACCAACUGUUUGCCCUCGUGUCAACGAUUGUGGUAUUUAGCUUUCCACGACAUUAGCAUUGGUACGUUGACCACUGUUAGUUAGAAAGAGAAAAAUACACUAGAACAUCUUGCAGAAAGUAGGCCAAUUAUUUGGUGGACCAUAUAAAAAUUUACAAUUUGGACCGACCAGAGAAAAGGAAAAAUGCUAGAAAAUAUCAUAAGAGCCAAAUAUGAGGAAAUUAGUUUGCUAACGUAAAUGCAUAUACCCCCGCAAAAAACCAUGUCGCAUAAACACAUGCAUAAAUGAUAUAUAUGUUGCCAAGAUGGUAUCUCCCCAUGUUGUAGAUGCUACACAUGAAGGAUCAAUUAGCUUUCGUGCGUAUCAAGAGAUAGAUCAAUGAGCGCACCUGUUCACAUGUAAAUGCAUGCGUACGUGUGUGUUUUUGCUGUGAACGCCCGAAGCUGCUUGAGUCGACGUGAAUGCGCCGCCAUAACCGCGAGUCAGCGACAACUCUGCCACGCCAUUGCGUUUCUGUCCUGUGACAUGCGCCUCUGCCGCUGCCAUCGGCCGUCGCCCCUGCUGCCGCUGCCGUCGCUGCUACUGUGUAGGCUAGCUUCUACGAUCAUACAUCGAUGCGGCCAGUAGCUAUUCAUCUUCGUCCGCAUACCGGCUAAUUGCACAAUUAUAUACGUCUUUGAUUGUUGUUAUAAAUCGUACACCACCGCUUGCUGCAUGGCAGCAGCCUCCACGGCGGUGCACCGGCGAGAUCGUGCGGACCAUGAGGAGGUCAUGGGCCUUGGCUGAACCCAGGUACGCAGUCAAUCAGAGAAUAUCAAAUUAUUUUGCCUUCCCCAAGUCAUAAUAGAUUGCGUGUGCCUGUACGAGCAUGUCGUUUCCUUUCCAAAUUCCGUUUCCUUUCCAUGUAAAUCUUUUUUCUUGUCUACUCAUUUCAAAUUACGUUUCCUUUCCAUGUAAAUCUUUUUUUCUUUUCUUUUUAGCACCCUGUCCUAUCCAUCACGUUUGGCUGCGGUUGGACAUACUUUUGUACAUGUCGUUAUUACUUGCCUAUUGCUAGUUUUUUUUACGUGUAUUACAUGAGGAAAUCUUGAUCGUUGAUACAUCUUAAUAUUAGAGUGUCAAAUCAGCACUGUUCGUUUUCUAUCGUUUUAUAAGUAUAUAGUAGAUGAUAGAUUUCAGACAAAAUCUGCCCUGCUGCUCAAGAAUGUAAAGCCAUGUCAUUCAACUUGUUGUCAAUUGAUCCUACUGGUAAAUACAAAUACAUGUCACUUAAAAAGAUUAUGCCAUUAUAGUUUUCUGAAACAAGAAUACGCCAUAAUAGCAUAGUGCCAGAAUUAUUUCAGUCGCUAUACAGUUUGAUGCGAUUCACAUGCAUGAUAUUUUAAUGAGUAGGCAAAUCGAAAUAUAAGGCAAGUAGAAGAAAGAGGAACCAGGAGUGGUGAUGUUGUGCUCAUCUAUACCGUCGCUUGUGAGCUAUGCAGUGGCAGCUGCCCUACAGAGAGGAAUGGUUGUGGCCCGGGAACAUGGCGCCUCAAAAGCAAUGUUAUAUGCUGUUGAGAAAGGGCGCCUCUGAUGGUCGCGCUGCGUCACCAUGUCAUCGCCAGUGCCGACAAUGGGCCAACGCCGGGAGGGAGGUGGCACACCGCCGCAGGAGAGCGGAGUAGAGCACGGGACAACGUGAGGAGGGGGGCAACUUACCAAACCUCCCGCCAUGGUCACCCUCGAUUGGAUCCACCAUCCUGCACAUGUCGUCGUUGCCGUCCUACGCCAGUGCCUUCUUCAGGCACUGCAUAGCGGCCGCUCCACCUCACCAUUGCCUUGACACGGAGCAGCCAACUAGGACGGAGCGAUAAGGUGUUGGAGCACCUCCUUGUGUCAGCUUCAGCGCUCGCUUAGCCAAGGCGGCAACUCCCGGCGACGCCGUGGGUGGUCGGCUCUGGUGGCAUGCGAUGGCGGGCGUCGGCGAUCUGGGCAGGCGAAAGGUCGAGGCGCGGGGUGGCUCGCAGCGUCGAGCAUGUGGCACACUUGAACAACGGGGACGCCGGGACUCCAGCACCUGAACGACGUGAGGCCGCGAGCUCGUGGUCGAGAGCAAUCGCAUUGGCCCAAGAUGACGGCAACGUCGACGAUGUGCAGCCGCGACCUGAGUUUAGCCUACCGCGCGGAGGUACGCCGCCUUCCUUCCUCUCCUCCGUCAUGGCCUUUGAUCGUGGUGGGGGCGACGGGAGAGAAUUUUGGAGCUUGUUGGUGGGACUACGCCGCCUUCCUUUCCUCUCCUCCGUCAUGGCCUCUGCUUGUGGUGGGUGCGACGGGAGAGAAUUUUGAAGCUUGGUGGUGGGACGAGGAGGCGGCGGUUGUGUUGUGUCGGGAUGAGGGAGAGACAAUUUAUAGAUCUACAAUAGCGAUGAAGAGGACAUGAGAUUGGACUGGAGUUUUCUAGAGAGAAGAUACGGGACGACAUGAGAUUGGACUGGAGUUUUGAGAAGUUACGUGUCCCGACCGGACCCAUCUUCCAUAGUAAAAAAACUAAAACCGGUGUAAAAAUUGUAACGUGGCAAAGGAAGGAACCAAAAUCAAAGCAGCGAUGGACAUGUACGAUCGGAACACAUGAAAGGAAACUGGCGUGACCCUUCCAUUCAACACAAAGAAAGACAUGGUAAAAAAACGUGCAACAUCUAGGUAGCUAAAAAAUAGGAACAACAAGGAAAGCUCCCGUCACACGCGUCAUUUUCUCAGGGGCGUAAAAAGAAUUCCGGAAAAACUAGAAAAAGGGAACCCUUACGGGCCUAGUAUUCUUAGUAUUAGGAAAUUUUAGUAUUUGGUGCCAAUUAAAGCUUGAACAAUUUUGGUUUUUCCCAUGACAUAUCACGAGCCGUCCUACCCGUAGCUCCUCUACAUUGAGUUCGUAGGAUCGGGCUUGCCUACUCCCUCCCCAUGCUCCCAUCCAAGCUCCCAAUUCAUUCUACAGUUGUUUUUUUCCUUUUUCCUUCCUAAUCUAAUCAUCCCUCUGAUUUUAACAGGGUGGCCCGGACCUUAUUUUGUUCCAAUCAAAUUAAGCCACGUACGCGGGAGUACGGAUGGGCGCACGCGUGGCGCUCAGGCAAGUCUCGUCUGAGUUCGUAUGCCCCUCUCUCAAGCCGGCCCUGAUGGAUAUUUAUUGCGCACCAAUACACGCCGGCGUACCAGCCGAACGAUUCAGCCGGUCAGCCCCAGCCGCACGAUGCGUGCGUCUACAUCGNNNNNNNNNNNNNNNNNNNNNNNNNNNNNNNNNNNNNNNNNNNNNNNNNNNNNNNNNNNNNNNNNNNNNNNNNNNNNNNNNNNNNNNNNNNNNNNNNNNNNNNNNNNNNNNNNNNNNNNNNNNNNNNNNNNNNNNNNNNNCUCGCUGACAAGCCAUGACUCCGCGGUUGCCCCUGCGCCGCCCGCCGCGGCACCACGCUCAUCCUCAUCGGCCGCCCGCACCGCCGCGCUCCCGUCGCCAUCGAGUGGUUGCAGCUUUUUUGCCAGGCGUUUCCAGCAUCCUUGAUGGGAAGUUCCAGCACUGCCGGUGGUGACCGCCCAACUCUGGGGAGCAGUGUCGUCGGUGCUCCGUCGGACUGGUUCCAGCAUCGAUCUCGCUCUGCCGGUCCACGGGUGUGUCAUCCCAAAAAUCAAGAGGUCGUCCCCCUCUCCUUGCAGCUCCACUGUACUGCGGUUCUAGCUUGCCGGACAACGGUUGCAACAUCCCAGCCGCAGGGGGUCGCCUUGCAGCUCCAUUGGACCGCCGUUGCAGAUCCAUUGGACUGCGGUACCAUCUCUUGUGGCAAUGGUUGCAGCUCCCCUUGCAUGGCUGCGGCACACCAUGCCGGCGGUCAUGUCGUCCCACCGUCACCGAUGCAGCAAAACUGGUCACCCGUAGUAGCAAAACAAACCACGGUUACAGCUCUCGUGCAUUACCAUUGUAUCUUUUCUAGAAUAAUGUCGUAGCUUUUUCCUUUGGUCGCGGGUCGCAGCUCGCUGUCGCGGCCCCACGCAUCACGGAUGUAGCAAUUUUGAUCACUGGUUCCAGCAAAUCUAGAUGCCCGUUCCAGCAAAAAUAACUGCCACCAUCGUUGCUCCAACCAGUUGUAGCAAAAAAGACGGCCAGUUCCAGCAUCUGGUGUGGUCGGUUGUAGCAAUAAAAGUUCUUGGUUGUAGCUCCAACCCUGACCGGCUCUAGCACCGGCGAUGAAGCUGGUAGCGUCCCCCCCAUGGCUCGGCACCAGGGUCGGUGAUGGCCGAAUCCAAUGUUGGUGGUGGCAGCAGUGUAGCGUCAACCCGUCGGCGGCCGGCCGCGAGGGGAGCUCGCAAUGGUUCGUGAGCAGCGGGGAGGAGAGAAAAGUCAUGGUUGUGGAGUCUCGGCUGAACGUAGAAGAAAGGAAAAAAAGGAAGGCCAAGAAAAAAGAUAAGAAUAGGAGAGGGGGCGGUUGUGCGAAGCCCACCACGUACACGCGUCUUGCUCGGGAGUUGUUUUCGUGGGGCCAGAGUGGCGUGCGAGCCGGCCGAACGUUCGGCCGGCGCCCCAGCCCAAAUCGUUUUCCAUAUGGGAAACGUUUAUACCCGGCGCACCGGCUGAGUCUUCCGCCGGUCGCGCACGCGGCGUGCGGUCCAUUUUUCCUUGUUGCACCAAGUCGCUUGUCCGCGCAUCCAGGCCCACAUGCAACACCCUCUUUCCCUCUUUCCUAGCCACGCAUCUACGGCCUUAUCCAUCUGCCAACCGCUCUUCUUCCUCCCCAGCUCUUUCUCUCUCCACGAGCGACCAAAGCACAUGCCAUGCCGAUGAAAGCCAACCGGCUAGACCAGAUCCCACUCGCCGNNNNNNNNNNNNNNNNNNNNNNNNNNNNNNNNNNNNNNNNNNNNNNNNNNNNNNNNNNNNNNNNNNNNNNNNNNNNNNNNNNNNNNNNNNNNNNNNNNNNNNNNNNNNNNNNNNNNNNNNNNNNNNNNNNNNNNNNNNNNNNNNNNNNNNNNNNNNNNNNNNNNNNNNNNNNNNNNNNNNNNNNNNNNNNNNNNNNNNNNNNNNNNNNNNNNNNNNNNNNNNNNNNNNNNNNNNNNNNNNNNNNNNNNNNNNNNNNNNNNNNNNNNNNNNNNNNNNNNNNNNNNNNNNNNNNNNNNNNNNNNNNNNNNNNNNNNNNNNNNNNNNNNNNNNNNNNNNNNNNNNNNNNNNNNNNNNNNNNNNNNNNNNNNNNNNNNNNNNNNNNNNNNNNNNNNNNNNNNNNNNNNNNNNNNNNNNNNNNNNNNNNNNNNNNNNNNNNNNNNNNNNNNNNNNNNNNNNNNNNNNNNNNNNNNNNNNNNNNNNNNNNNNNNNNNNNNNNNNNNNNNNNNNNNNNNNNNNNNNNNNNNNNNNNNNNNNNNNNNNNNNNNNNNNNNNNNNNNNNNNNNNNNNNNNNNNNNNNNNNNNNNNNNNNNNNNNNNNNNNNNNNNNNNNNNNNNNNNNNNNNNNNNNNNNNNNNNNNNNNNNNNNNNNNNNNNNNNNNNNNNNNNNNNNNNNNNNNNNNNNNNNNNNNNNNNNNNNNNNNNNNNNNNNNNNNNNNNNNNNNNNNNNNNNNNNNNNNNNNNNNNNNNNNNNNNNNNNNNNNNNNNNNNNNNNNNNNNNNNNNNNNNNNNNNNNNNNNNNNNNNNNNNNNNNNNNNNNNNNNNNNNNNNNNNNNNNNNNNNNNNNNNNNNNNNNNNNNNNNNNNNNNNNNNNNNNNNNNNNNNNNNNNNNNNNNNNNNNNNNNNNNNNNNNNNNNNNNNNNNNNNNNNNNNNNNNNNNNNNNNNNNNNNNNNNNNNNNNNNNNNNNNNNNNNNNNNNNNNNNNNNNNNNNNNNNNNNNNNNNNNNNNNNNNNNNNNNNNNNNNNNNNNNNNNNNNNNNNNNNNNNNNNNNNNNNNNNNNNNNNNNNNNNNNNNNNNNNNNNNNNNNNNNNNNNNNNNNNNNNNNNNNNNNNNNNNNNNNNNNNNNNNNNNNNNNNNAAUGGUUAUGACGGCGAGGCUACGACGGGUUGACGGCACGGAGCUGCACGGGAUUUUUUGCUGCAAUCGACAACGGGAAAAGCUACAACCGGUGCCACGUCUUGCUACUCCCGGCAAAACCCGACGAAGGUUGAAUCAAAUCGUGGUCGGCGCAUUGACUGUCGAAAUGAUUGGUUGUAGCGAUUCCUGUCACCGGUCGUAGCAAAAAUGAACCAUGGUUGAAGCAAAAUAUAUCUGCACGUGGAUGAUGAAGGAGAAAAGAUUGGCUGGGUGUGGCCAUGGCGACAGGGCUGCGGCGAGGGACAGCGGCGGAGCUGCAACCUGAGCUUCACCCGUCGCUGCUGAGAGCUACAACCGCAGGCGCAGCUAUUUCAUGGGUCAAGGCGGCGACGAGGACAGACGGCGAAGAUGGGGACUGGCGACGAGGACGGCCGACGAGGAUGGGGACUGGCGACGAGGACGGCCUGCGGGAGUGGGGACCGGCGACGAGGUCAGGCACCGGAGGGGAGAGGACGCGCGCGCCGAGUGGGAGAUGUGAUUUCCAGCAAGAGGAAGAAGAAGCUGGGGGGCAAACCCUUUUUUUUCACCAGAUCCAAUGGCCCACGCGGCUCAAAUCCAACGGCCCUGACGCGACCGGCCAAACGGUUGGGCCGGUGCGCCGGCGCAGAUUAGUGCCCUUUCCAUAUUUAUUUUCUUUGUGAUUUUGAGUCAGAGCAAGCAUGGCAAGUUGACAACACUACUGCACGUUUGUAGUAACUGGACGGAAAAAAAUCAUAUGGGCAUGGUGAGAUCCGCACUUCAUUCAAACUCCUUUCUUUUUCUCUUGCUAUAUCCCUGUCUUAUAUUUUCUUCUCACAUUUUAAGAUACAAAAAUAGAUGGUCUGAAUUUCGCUAAUGCGGACUGGUCGACAGAUGACAAAUCUAUUUGGGGCCUGGAUCCAGAUAUUCACUUGUUUAGUACAACGUGCAUAUGCUAUCUUUAUAAAUCUCUGAUAGUGCGUUGCGGCCGGGGAAGAGAUAAGGAGAGAAGAGAACAGCUCGACGGGAGAAGAAUAGAGAAAGGGGCAGCAAAAACAUUGGUCAUUGCUGCUGUGCUAUUGCAUACCAUGAACAAAGAAUGAAGAAAGAUGAACGAGAGAAGAUAAACAUGAAAGGGUGCUGCAGUUGUGCCGCUGCAUUCUUGGCAAGUUUUGUCAUACUCAUCAUCCAUACUUCAAGGGUAACUUUCUAUUUAGUCCAAAACUAUAGAUCACAAGAAUUUAUUUUAUUCCUGUAGCCCACGGCCGACCUUGGGUUGACCACAUUGGAUGCAUUUUGGGGGUCAAAAAGAGGAUAAGCGAUGGCACGGAUGGACCGCAGUGUUUAAAUAGAGGACAUUGACAUGUGUGGGAGAUGUCUUGAGUCAUUUAGUACUUACUAGCAAAAGGACCUGUACGUUGCAACGGGAGAAAAAAAUAACACACACUCUUAAUUUAGAAAAAAAAUGGUAUAUAAUUUGAGUAUUUGUAGUUACGGCCCAAACAAAGAUGGUCUUUGCCAACAAAACGUGAGUUCAAGAUUCCACAUGUCUUCUAUUUAAACACGGCUUGCAUGUAGAUUUAAUACGUAUGAACAAACGGGCAAAUAAAUAGGCAAGUGAUUUUCAAUUUGGUCUCCAAUCCUGAUUUUGCUAAGAUGUUUAUUUAUCCACAAUCCGGAUUAGUACCUAUAUGAAAGAAAGACGGACAAUGCACUGUUGAUUAAGAUUGCACCUUAAAUAGUAUUAUUUUUUAAAUGGUUAACAGGUAAAAUAACAUCAUAUUCAGAUUCUAUAUUUUUUCUAAUCAAAUUCCAUAUAUAAUAUGUAAAUUUGGAGUUACGGUUUAGAAGAUGAGUAUUUUAAAAAACAUUUUAUAUGUACUGCAGGUUUAAUAUAAGAAACAUUAGGGGGUUUUCUAUAAAGUAGUAUGACGGACUAAGAAUACCUAUUUCUUUUAUUGGUAGGUAUAUGUAUACAUAUAGAUUAUUGGGCUAUGAUUAUGUGAUAAUUUUUUCUCCACGUCGUAACGCACGGGCAUGUUUGCUAGUAUAAGAUUAAGUGGCUAAGGGCAACUCUAAUAGCCCGAAACGGACACAAAAUGAGUACGCUUUGUCGGGCCCGUGGGACUGGGGAUACCUAGGCCCGUCUGCAUGCGGCCCAGGGCGCGACGCUUACCCUAGGGCCCAUGACUGGCCCACCUUUGGACUUCAUGAGCAAGACCCUCACGAGGCUCUCGCUUCGCGAGGCACCCGUCAGCCCGUGUCGUCAGGGUCCUCGCGAGACCCCCUCACGAGGCGAUCUUCCAAGGCUGCCUCCUGAGGCCCCUCAUGGAGGCGGAUAGAUCAAGGGUGGCUCGGCAGGGUCACGCGGUGGGUGACGUGCGCGACGACAGGCUGUGCCCAAGGCCAUGCUAGUAGGCGCAGAUGUGGAGGCUUUCCUAUUUGAUGCUAAGGGAGCGAGGACAGCGCACCGGUCCCCGAAAAAAUCCCCAAAGAUUUCCCGUUCGGUGCAAGAGGACCGAGACAACGGGCACGCCAGGACAGAGGUCACCACUGAGCCCAUCGGGGUGCCACGACAGGAAACUUUUGCAGGCGAAGACCACAUUUAGUCAGGAUAAGCUGCAACCUUGCCCCCCUUCAAACUGGCCGUUGUGGCAACCCUUCCCGCCAUGUGUUUUUAGUGAAAGAGGACCAGAGGCAGUAUAAGAAGAGGCGAGGUGCAGCCCUAGGGAGGAGGGGAUCGUCUCGUGGCAACUUGUGCUUGAGGCUUACUCUCUCUCUCUCUCUCUCUCUCUCUCUCUCCCAAGCAAUCUAGACAAGCAGGAGUAGGGUCUUACACCGCGUGAUGGCCUGAACCUGGGUAAACUGUCCUGUCCUAUGUUCUUCUUCCCUAGCUUGAGCACGCCGGAGCAUCGCCAUGAUGUUGUGAGGCAGAGUAGGGCGGUAGGAACGCACCCCAAAGUUUGAACCUUCUUGGGUCCUCGAAGCCCCGAUUCCGACAUUUCAUGCCAGGUAGGGGUGUGCCGCCCUUUUUUCGCACCGUUACGGCUUUUGCUUCACCGUUUCGGGCCGUGCUCCUCAUGGCGCGCGAGCUGCUCUGCUAACGUCCUGCGGACACGGGCUACGACGCCUGGCUUGGCCGCAUCACCGAGCUCGUCAACGUUGCCGGAGAAGCCCCGGUGCCCUCCCACUCGCUCCGCGCUCCGCCGUCUCGCAUCGGGGAUGUGGCGCACGGUGCCCUUCCACCACCUCGCAUGCGCAGCGACCUCGGCAAACCCCGUGUGACCAGCCCCGUGGAAUGCCGCCGCCAGCCCAAGACGAAGCCAGCUGAUAGAUCGUCCAACGCGCGCCGCCUAACGCGCGCGUCCUCCUCGAGCAACAACAUUAACGCCAGUACCACAUCGUCCAAGAAGUCGUAGUGGCCAGGUGCCAGAAUCGCGCCACACUCGCGCGUGGCAUUGCUUCGAGCAGCGUGGGCUGUCGGGCCUUCAAUUGUGAGCUGCGCCGUGUGGUUUGGCCGGUCAAGUUCAAGCCGGAUCUCCUUUCGACUGAUUCAACAAAGAUUGCUUUUGCUCUUCUCGGUCCAGCUGGUGGUGUUGGGUGCUUGUCGUAGCUCUCUUCUGGUUCAUGUUCUGUUGUUUCUUGUGCCUUCUUGUGUGUAUUGGAUCCUAUUUGUUGUACCUGAUGUCUUGUAUCUUACUCUUAUAUAUAAUGAAAAUGGUUCAGGCCGGCGUAAGCCCGCCGUAGCACCGCCAAAUAAAUCCCCCCCCUCCUUUUUCUUUUGUGCAAAAAUAAAAUUUUCCAUUUUCUGUUCGCAAGUGGUCAAAUUUUGGUUACAAUUUUGAAUUCUCGUCACUCUAUAAAUGUGAUAUCACAAAAUGUUAUCAUUCUGCAUAAUGUCAUACAAAUGAGAUUUGUUUUUCCAGUUCAAUGUUUGUUAUCUUUAAUUUAUAGAAGCGGACUUUACAAAAACAGUAUGCACCGCAAGACUGAUUCGGUGAAGUAAAUACCACAAAUGGUCGUUAUACUUACAAGAUUUUGCAUAACCACGUAAACAAUCGGCACGUACUCUCGCGUGUAGGGCAUUUGGCACCUUUACGCAGCUAGUGUAUACUAGACACAGAAAACCUGAAUUCAUGAAGCGCUUUAACCUUGUGUUAAGGCUGAAACCUUUUACCGAAUAAUAAAGAUUGCGCUAGAAUCUUGAUUUACAACAAUUCCUUAUUUCACGAAAAGAAAACAAUUCCUUAUUUGUUAGGCGCCAGUUUUUAGCUGAAAUGCCAAAGAAUCAAAAGCGGAAUGCGUUUUGAUGUCGUGAUCAAAAGCAAUAUUUUUCCUUCCAUUCCAUGCUCGAUUGACAAUUAUUUUCUCAUUAUUUCCCUUCCUUGUUAUGCAUCCGAAACUGCGGCGGGUAACAAAAUAGGAAUAUGGCGCCAGAACUUUUAUCUCUUCCCGCCAGCAACCCCCGCGUACACUAUAUAUAUGCUCAUACGUCCGUGCCCAAGCAACCAUCACCGCACCCAGCCCAUACUUUCUAUAUGGCGCGAGAGCUGCCUUCUUUUGUUUCCUCUCCCGAUUUAGUCUUCCUCUCGGAUGAUGAGGGAGAAAAAGAGGUGAUCAAGAUUGAGGAUUCAGACUGCGGUGGCGACACGCAUGUCUACCUCAGCUCUGACGAGGAGGACGACGCGGUCUACGCCGAUGAUGGCUCCUCCUACGCCAACUGCAAAGCCGCAUCUGCGGCUGCCACGUCUUUGGCCACGGUGAGCUGCACCGACUAUGGCGACGACAACCCCAAUGGCGGCGACUCUAAUGGGGACGGCAACCCCAACAACAGCUACUUCGAUGACAACGACAACGACUCUGAAGAUGGCGGUGACGACGCCAGCGAUUUUUCGUCGGCCGCCACAAGUAAGUCGCCAAAAGCCCCAUACAAUUAUUGGCAUCCCACCGACCUCUGCACCCUCGUGGAAAUAGAUGGGCAGCUCCUCAAGGAUUUUGAAGGCGCGACAGUACCAUCGUCUGUGCUCUAUGAGGCGUUUAUGGAGGAUCCACGGCCGAUCCGCCGUGGCGGGCUGACCUCAAGAAAAAUCUCAUACAAAAGGUAUCAAUUGAAAAAAAAAAUUCGUGCCUUCUGCAAGUUGGAUCCGAGGCGUGCCUUCCGCACGUGUCGCACGGCUCAAGAACGCAAGUUUUACACCUGCUGCAAGGAGGCGUGGCCUCAUAUUGUAGAAGAGGGCCGUGUCUGACUUGCUAAUAAGAAGUAAACCACAGUCAUGUUCAAUCCGGUCUUUUUUUGGUUUCACCAAUAAACAAUAGUAGCUUUCUUUCCCAUUUUUUCCAUGAUCAGUAUUACUCUGGAUUUGAUCUGUUUUUCCUUUGCUUGUAUUAGUUUAUUUUUCUUUUGCUUUGUAUGAGAUUGUUCAGUACAAGAAUCAUCAGUACUUUUAUUUAGCAGUCCACAAUUUUAUUUUAUUUUAUUAUGUUUUGUUGUGGGGACAGAGGGGCCUGAUGUGUCCACCUGCUCGACAUUUCGUUGUAGAUAUAUGUGCGUACUUUUUUAAAUACCCUUUAUUAAUUGUUCUGGCCAACAGGAUGACGAUCUUCUCGCCUGAACCGGAAAACAUGCAUAUGUGCCCAUUAUAUAUUGAUUCGAUGUCCAAAUGAUUUCCCACGUAGGCAUGCAUGGGUGGGAACUUCCUGAACCGGAAAACAUGAGUAAUAGGUAGAGAAGAUAUGUUUCUUUUUUAUUUGUUAAUUAUAUCAUGACACUUGACAAUAGAGAAGUAUAUCCGGAAUAUCCUACAUGUCAUAUCAAGCAUUAAGUUCAGAUUUCACCUGUUUGCAGGCUCACGAAAGCAUCAGGUAUAGCUAAGAGAUGAACCGCGUGGUUGUUGUAUAUUUCUUAAUUACUACAAAAAUACUUGGAAAUUUGUAAAAAUCAAUACUUCAAGCGAAUAUGCAUGAACCACAUGGUUGAUGUAUAUAUCUUAGUUCAGAAAUUCUUGCAAAUUGGUAAAAUCAAUACUUCAAACAAAUUUUCUUAGUACAGAAAUUCUUGACUGAAAGACACACGAAGCAUGGAUUGCAUCUAAAGAUUAUUUUCUGUACAGGAUUCAAGAUCUAGAUCUGAAAUAUUGUAGCAUGAUAUCAGUGGUCACAACAGUAAAUUAUUCCUUCCAUUACUCUUUCAAAAGAAGCACAGAGAAUUCUACUGUUCUAUAUAAAGAUUAUUGCUAGUGUUCUCGUUUGUGAGUCCCAUGAAUCCAAGUGCCAAUCUUAGUGACCGAAAGACAUACUCCCUCCGUCUGAAAAUACUUGUCACGGAAAUUGAUAGAAAUGGAUGUAUCUAGAACUAAUAUACAUCUACAUACAUUUAAUUUUGCGACAAGUAAUUCGAUACUGACUAUAAAGCAGUUAUCUCAUUAAAAAUCAGUGUCUUCAUGCUCCUAGAAAGAGUACACAAUAAGCUAAGGGACGAAAAAUGAAUUGAAAUGUACUAUUUGCAUGUCAUGCAAACUGCAAGAUGCGGACCACUGCCCCACUGCAUGUCCGGCAUUGCUCAUCUGUUAACAGAAACAACGCCAAAGCUCAAAAAAUCUUCUAUCCAGGAAAACCGUAGGGGAAGUGUUGCUUCACAGACAACAAUAAGUAGUCAGUACAUUGUUAUUGUUUUCCCUGCUGGUGAAUCUGCACCACAUUUCUCUCAUCUUCCAUUCGACAAUCACAUGCCAACGUUUUCUGUAACACUUGAAAAGAGAAGGGAAAACACAACAGUUAUUUGUAUAGAAAAGAUGUUGGAAAAUCCUAUAAGGAUUUUUUUAAAGAAAAUGUAAGGAACUAUUGCCAUAACACGAAUACAACAUAGGGCCACUGAUUUUGAUUCGAACUAAAUAAACCAUACUAUUAAUGUUCUUUGACUGACAAAUUCUGAAGCAUUCCUUGAACAUAAAUGAAAGCUACCGAAUUACCAGGUAACCGAUACAACUAUUGGUACUUGUUUAAGCACAUGUCUCGAAAUUGAAUUUUACUUUUGUUUGUGAAACAUGAAAGGACUCAAUUAGCUAGCUGCUAUGUGAGAAGGUUUUGGAUCCCAAGCGGACCUUUUUUUCGAGGGGCACCGGAAUUUGCGGUUACCAUGGUAACCAUGAAAUAGCGGAAAAGAAUCGGACGAAAUUUAAAUUUAAAUAUUAUUUAGGUCGAUAUAGAUAGAUAUUUAACUAUAUAAUAUAACAAACUUUGCCAUGGCGUAUAGUGGCUAUUGGACCAUAGCUUUCGCUUGCUCGUACGCCGCGAGUUCGACCCUUUUUUAACUUUUGCAUCCUAUGAAAAUUAAAAAAUGCGUGAGCCCAGAUUCAAACCCGCGAUUCGCUGCUGAGGAAAGAUGCGCUUGCUACUAGGCCACUCCCAGUUAUGUCGUGAUACAAGAGAUUGUUUGUAUUUAACUCUAUAACAUGCAUUUGAAUUCAAAAUUUUCAAAUUAUCCGAGAUAUUUUUCUCGGUAUGAGUGUUUCUCGAGGGGGGAUAGUAAACGCGGUAACCGCCCGAAAUCACGAAAUUUCAUUUAGUAACCAAAUCAGUGGAUCAUACCCAUUGCAUUUUUAGCAACUCUCAUAAGCCGCUCUUACCUGUUCUCACAGCUCAUGAACAUACAAUAUAUGAUGAAACUUUGCCAGAUAACAAAGAUGCUUAACUGGCAGCAAGAUGUAUCCUAUAGUAUCAUGUUUUUAUUUCUGAGUAAUUGGUUAACCUAUGCUACCUUAGUUAAGCAUUCAAGAAAAUGAAGUUGCCUCUGUGUUUUAAGCUAAAGCUACCACAGUUCUGUGAGACUUAUCAUUCCAGAUAAUGUUCACACAACUUAAAUGAGUAACAUAAGUGCAAUUUUAAUUUUUAGUACAAAUGUACAAUGACAAGCUCAUGUACAAUUAUUUACUGAAAAAAUAAGCCAGCUCAUUUGGAAGGGAAGAAGCUAGAGAAAUGUCAGCAAUGUAACUUUACCUAGAACACAGCCACUAGUAGAAAACAGGGCUUUGGUUGAGCCCUGGGUAAGGGCAUUAAUCCCGGUUCACUCCCGAACAGGGACCAAAGGGGGCAUCAGUCCCGGUUCGUGAGGCCAGGGCGCCGGCCGGGCCUUGGGGGCCAUUGGUCCCGGUUCGUCUGACCCCUUUGGUCCCGGUUCCAGACACAUGAACCGGAACCAAUGGGCCUCGCUCCUGGCCCAACAUCUUUAGUCCCGGUCGGUGGCUGCAACCGGGACCAAAUGUUGUCCUUUAGUCUUGGUUUUAGCCACCAACCGGACUAAAGAGAUCCCUAUAUAUAGCCCUGCCCGUGAACAGAGCCAGUGCUCUAUGUUUUUGGCCGGCCGUGGGAGAGGUGUGUGUUGCUCUAGUUCACCUUCUAUGCACAUGAGGUGUUCGAUGAAAUGCCCGAGCCACACUUAAGCUUUCUCCUCUCCAAGCUCCUUCUCCAAGCUCCAUUUUCCUCAAGAUUUGUCUAGUUUUGGCGUUUCGUCCUGUCCCGUCCCCAUCCUCACCGCCGUUGAUUGCCCGCGCCGAUCUCGUCACCGGCACCACCAUGGUGAGCCUCUUGUUCUUAUCUUCUUUCUAAAAGAAAAAAAUACUACUUUUAUGAUUUAGAUUGAUACUUGUAUAAUUUUCUAUUCUUAAUUUUAUUAUUGUUUGUUAUUAUAUAGUGCGAUGGUUUUGGUAUCCUGCCCUCGUCCUGUUUAUGAUUCGGAUGUGGUAUAUAUUAUCUUUUAUAACUAUUUGUUUCAUUUAGUAUUUAUGACAAUUAUGCCGACCAACAUGACAUAUAUGUUUUUAUCUAGGAGGUAUGUGAACCGGAAAUUCCAACCGACCCUCUUGUCAAGAGGUUAAAUUUAGUUGAAAAGGAAAACAAUUACUUAAUAUUUUUUUGAAAAGAAUUGAGGAGGAGAAGAUGAAAUUGGAUUUGCAUAUUGCGGAUGUCGUCGAUGAUCACAAGAUCAAGAUGGAUGCAAUGCGCGUGAAGAUUAGAAAGAUUAGGAACUAUGCCAUUCAUACUGAGGCUUGGUAUCAUUAUGCCGUUGGAUCAAUUGUCUCCUUAGUUGCAAUUAUGAUCGCAUUUGUUGUUGCAUUGAAAUAUUUUACAUAGUUUCAAUGUAUGGUUCAAUUAGAUGCUCUAGAGAGCUAUAUGUUGUCAAUGAGAACUAUGUAUGAACUUUAUGUAUUUAUUUUUUCUGUAAUAACAUUUGAUCACUACUAUACUUUGGUUUUAAUAUGAUGGUGAACUUCUAUUAAUUUGGUCACUUCCCUAUACAUGAUGUUCUGUAAUGGUUUCUGACACACUUAAUUAUAUAUAAUGCAUGUAGAUGAACCGGCAAUGGAUGUAUGGUGAAAGACGCACCUCCGAGUACAUUAAGGGCAUGUAUAAUUUUCUCGAAGUGGUUGAGGCAAACAAGAAGAAUGGUUUUAUGUUUUCUCCAUGCCCUAUCUGUGGGAAUACAAAGUCUUACUCUGACUCGAAAACCCUUCACAUCCACCUUCUUGACAAGGAUUUCAUGCCACACUAUAAUGUUUGGACCAAGCACGGAGAAAGAGGGGUUAUGAUGGAAGACAACAAAGAAGAAGAGGAUGAUGACAACUAUCAUCCCCCUGAAUACGGUGAUGCUGCAACGGAGGAAGAUGAAGAUCAAGAGGAACCAGAAGAUGUGCUCGAUGAUGAUCUUCAUGGGGUCUUUGUUGAUGCAAAGAGACAAUUCCAAACUGAAAGGGAGAAGUUGAAGUUCGAUCGCAUGUUAGAGGAUCACAAAAAAGGGUUGUACCCAAAUUGCGAAAAUGGCAAAACAAAGCUCGGUAUCACACUGGAAUUGCUGCAAUGGAAGGCAGGCAAUGGUGUAUCUGACAACGGGUUUGAGAAGCUACUAAAAAUAUUGAAGAAUAAGCUUCCAAAGGAUAAUGAAUUGCCCGACAGUACGUACAGAGCAAAGAAGGUUCUAUGCCCUCUAGCAUUGGAGAUGCAGAAGAUACAUGCAUGCCCUAAUGACUGCAUCCUCUACCGCAAUGUGUACAAGGAUUUGAACACAUGCCCGGUAGGCGAUGCAUUGCGGUAUAAGAUCAGACGAGAUGACCCUGGUGAUGUUGAGGGCGAGCGCCCCAGGAAGAGGAUUCCUGCCACGGUGGUAUGCUCCUAUAAUACCAUGGUUGAAACGUAUGCUUAGAAACAAAUAGCAUGCCAAGUUGAUGCGAUGACACAAACAGGACGGUAAGAAACACGGGAAGUUUAGAGCACCCGCUGACGGGUCGCAGUGGAGAGAAAUCGAGAGAACGUGGGGGGGGGGGGACUUUGGAGGUGACACAAGGAACGUAUGGUUUGGUUUAAGCGCGGAUGUCAUUAAUCCUUUUGGAGAGCAGAGCAGCAAUCAUAACACCUGGCCCAUGACUCUAUGUAUUUAUAACCUUCCUCCUUGGUUGUGCAUGGAGCGGAAGUUCAUUAUGAUGCCGUGCUCAUCCAAGGCCCUAAGCAACCCAGCAACAACAUUGAUGUGUACCUAAGGCCAUUAGUUGAAGUACUUUUACAGCUGUGGAAUGGAAAAGGUGUAUGUGUGUUGGAUGAGCACGACCAGGAGGAUUUUGACCUACAUGCAUUGCUGUUUGUAACCAUCAAUGAUUUGCCUGCUCUGAGUAACCUUUUAGGACAAACAAACAAGGGAUUCCACGCAUGCACGCACUGUUUAGAUGACACCGAAAGUAUAUAUUUGGACAAAUGCAUGAAGAAUGUCUACAUGGGACAUCAUUGAUUUCUUCUGACCAACCAUCAAUGUAGAAAGAAAGGCAAGCAUUUCAAAGGUGAGGCAGAUCACCGGAAGAAGCCCGCCAUUCGUACUGGUGAUCACAUACUUGAUAUGGUCAUUGAUUUACACGUAAUCUUUGGAAAGGGUCCCAGCGGACUAUAUGUUCCAAAUGAAGCUGAGGGACGUGCACCCAUGUGGAAGAAGAAACCUAUAUUUUCGGACCUACCCUAUUGGAAAGACCUAGAGAUCCGCUAUGCAAUCGACGUGAUGCAUGUGAUGAAGAAUCUUUGCAUGAACCUGCUAGGCUUCUUGGGCGUGUAUGGGAAGACAAAAGAUACACCAGAGGCACGGGAGGACCAGCAAUGUGUGCAUGAAAAAGACGGCAUACAUCCAAAGAAGUAUAAAGGGCCUGCCAGGUAUGCUCUUACCAAAGAUGAGAAGAAAAUCUUUUUUGAAUGCAUGCUCAGUAUGAAGGUCCCGUCUAGCUUCCCGGCAAAUAUAAAGGGAAUAAUAAAUAUGGCAAAAAGUUCCAAAACCUAAAGUCUCAUGACUGCCAUGUGAUUAUGACGCAACUACUUCCGGUUGCAUUGACGUGGCUUCUACCGAAAAACGUUUGAUUAGCCAUUGUGAAGCUAUGUGCAUUCCUCAAUGCAAUCUCUCAGAAGGUAAUCGAUCCAAAAAUCCUACCAAGGUUAAGGAGUGAUUUGGUGCAAUGUCUUGUCAGUUUCAAGCUGGUGUUCCCACCAUCCUUAUUCAAUAUCAUGACACACGUCCUAGUUCAUCUAGUCGACGAAAUUGGCAUUCUGGGCCCUAUAUUUCUACACAAUAUGUUCCCCUUUGAGAGGUUUAUGGGAGUCUUAAAGAAAUAUGUUUGUAACCGUGCUAGGCCAGAAGCAAGCAUCUCCACGGGUCAUAAAAUAGUGGAGGUCAUUAGGUUUUGUGUUGACUUCAUUCCCGACCUUAAGAAGAUUGGUCUUCCUCAACCGCGGUAUGAGGGGAGAUUGACUGGAAAAGGCACGCUAGGAGUAGACUCGAUAAUAUGUAGGGACGGGCAUUUUUGGUCUCAAGCACACUACACAACUCUACAGGAUUCUACCUUGGUGACCCCAUAUGUCAAUGAACACAAGAAUAUUCUGCGCUCCAAACACCCGGAGCAGUGUGACGACCGGAUUACAUGUGAACACAUCAGGACUUUCGGUAGUUGGUAGCAAACACAUCUCAUGGGUGACAACACUGUUGUAGAUGAGUUGUACUCGUUGGCCAGAGGACCAUCUUCGACUGUAUUAACUUACAAAGGGUACGAGAUAAAUGGGAAUACGUUUUACACGAUCGCCCAAGAUCAAAAGAGCACCAACAAAAACAGUGGUGUCCGCUUUGAUGCAGCAACCAAUAGGGGAAAGGACACAUAUUAUGGUUACAUAGUAGACAUAUGGGAAUUUAACUAUGGACAUGAUUUUAAGGUCCCUUUUUUCGGUGCAAAUGGGUUAAUCUGUCAGGGGACGGGGUACAGGUAGACCAAUAGUACGGAAUCACAACAGUGGAUCUCAACAAUCUUGGGUACACAGACGAACCAUCCGUCCUAGCCAAUGAUGUGGCGCGGGUUUUCUAUGUGAAGGACAUGUCUACCGAACCGAGAAAAAGAAAAGAUAAGGAAGCGAAUACAUCAUACGAUGAGCCAAAGUGCCACAUAGAUCUUUCAGGGAAAAGAGACAUCGUGGGAGUGGAGGGCAAGACAUGCAUGUCUAAAGAUUACAAAAAGUUUCAUGAAAUUCCUCCCUUCAAAGUCAAGGCUGACCCAAACACCCUGUUAAACGAUGAAGAUUAUCCAUGGUUACGGCGCAAUAAGCAAGGGACACACACAAAGAAAAAGUGAAGACUUUCUCUCCACAACUAUUCUGAUGAUUCCUUUGAUCUAGAAUAUCACUCUAGUUACAUGUUAAGAAAUGAAAUGCCUUUUGGAACAUAUGAGUUUUCAUCCGAAACCCUGAUACUUUGAAAGAGAUUGCCAUUUUGUACAUGAAGUGCAUCCAGUUUUUUCCGCAACCCUCUCAAUUUUGUAGCACAUGCUAUAUGGCUGAAAUGAUGAUAUCAUGCUAACUUUCAACCUUUUCAGAGUUCAUUUGUAGUGCUUUCCAAUUUCAGGGUCAUUUAGCUAAAAAAAUCAGUAAAUGCAUGAAAAAUACAAAAUGAAGUCAGAAAUGGUUGAAAAUUGAUGAUGCGCCUUUUAAUGAUGCAUUUUGAACACACAAAAAGUCUGGAGUUAAAAUAAGUUCCAAAAAAUAAAAUUAAUUUGUAAGAGAGGAGUUUUCGUCCGAAAGCCUGAUACUUCGAAAGAGAUUGUCCAUUUUGUACACGAAUUGCAUCCAAUUUUUUUCGUAACCGUCUCAACUUUCUAGCACAUGUUAUGUGGGUGAAAUGAUGAUAUCAUGCCUACUUUCAACCUUUCCAGAGUUUAUUUAUAGUGCUUUUCAAUUUCAGGGUAAUUUAGCUCAAAAAAUCAGUAAAUGCAUGAAAAAUACCAAAUAAAGGUAUAAACGGUUGAAAAUUGUUGAUGUGCCUUUGAACGGUGCAUUUUGGACACAUAAAAUGUAUGGGGUUAAAAUAAGUUCGAAAUCCCCCUCCUCACGCCUCGAGUCACCUCGCCACCCCAUCACCCAUCUUGUGCCCGCAUCCGCAGAAUUCAGAUGCAUAUUUUCUGGUGCAACAGCAAGCGUUGGAGGAUUUAAGCGCCAAACAAGAGAAAGUUAAUAAGCUUGCUAAGCAUCUUGCCAGCAUUAUGGGUACCCAGGAUAUUUUUCCUUGAGAUCUUCUGAAGUGGGUUUAGUCCUGGAUUUGUUUUGCUACGACAUUUAUUUGCGCUGGUCCCCAACUUUGACAACCAGUGUAUAUGAUAUGCUGCUUUGUUUCCUAUAUUUGCUCUGGUGGCGAACUUUGAUGUCUAGUGGAUGUAAUAUGUGUAAUAGCCGUGAUAGCCUAACAUUAGUUGCUUGCUUAUUUAUUUCCUUGUUGUCUUGUUUAUUUUUUUGCUUGUACUCAUUGGAGUUCUUUUUCCGCGGUUUGCUAGUGGCUGCAAUAACCUAUUUUUUUAAAACUAGGCCACAAUAACCAUGGGCUAAUAUUUACUGAAGUGACAUUGGGCCUCCUACUGGCCGUAGAAACAGUGGGCCUUCUACGGGCCGUAGAAAUAAUGGGCCUUCUACGGGCCGUAGAAACAAUGGGCCUUCUGCGGGCCAUAUCAUCAAUGGGCCUUAUACGGGUCGUAUGAUCGAUUGGCCAAACAUGGGCCAAACAGACCGCAUUAUGGCCGUAAACGGGCUAGAGUUGGAAUCGUCCGUUCAUGGGCCAACCAUAACAGGCCAUCGUUAAUAGGCCGUAUUUGAUGAUGCUAUGAGAACGGUCCAACGUAUUAAUGGACCACAAACGGGCCGACUGUAACCACGGGCUGAAUUUGGCCCACAAGCAAAAAAUGACAGUAACGGGCCGUAAGUAAACGAACGAUGGAAAUGAGCCCAAGAAUAAAUGGGCUCUGAGAAGGCCGAAAGAUAACAUGGGUUGGAAACAGCCCAACGGAAUAACGAGCAGUUAAUUGGUAUAAAGUGAUACACUGUUCAUUACGGGCCAGUUUCACCACGGGCCGUUAAUGGGUGUAAAGUGAUACACUGUUCAUUACGGGCCAGUUUCACCAUGUGCCGUUAAUAGGCCAAGAGUUACAUAGGGCCUCAUAUGGGCCGAAAGACAUCAUGGGCCAUACAUGCGCGAGAAGUGAAAACAGCCUGGAAUCAUAUUGGAUGGCCCAGAUGACGCUACUAGGCCUAAUUCGGAUAGGGCGUAACGGGCCUUGGGUUAGCGGGCUGUAAAUGGGCUAUAUGCGAAUAGGCCUUUAAUAGGCUUUCCAUGGACCGGCCCGCCACCUUUUGACCAAGUCAAACGCGUCAGCCUUUUCACAGGAAUGGGCCUCUGUUGAGCCGUGCCACAUGUCUACGUACCAUAGGCGCCUUCCAUCCAAUGAGUGGAUGACAUCUGUCCCAACAAUCAGCCGACACGUGUUUCCUCCAGCCAAUGAUGAUUUUACACGUGGAAAAUCCUCAUUGGUCGGGGCUGUUAACGGGUUAUCAGGUCCAAAACCCGACCCGAUAGCUUAACGGUGUUCCAAUACGGUGGAUUCCACGUGUCGGUCACCCUUGACGAAAGUGUUGGGGAACGUUGCAUAAAAUAAAAAAAAUUCUACGUUCACCAAGAUCAAUCUAUGAGUUCAUCUAGCAACAAGAGAGGGGAGUGCAUCUACAUACCCUUGUAGAUCACGAGCGGAAGCGUUCAAGAGAACGGGGUUGAGGGGGUCGUACUCGUCGUGAUCCAAAUCACCGGAGAUCCUAGCGCCGAACGGACGGCACUUCUGCGUUCAACACACGUACGGUCAGUGUGACGGCUCCUCCUUCUUGAUCCAGCAAGGGGGAAGGAGAGGUUGAUGAAGAUCCAGCAGCACAAUGGCGUGGUGGUUGAUGCGGCAGAGUUCCGGCAGGGCUUCGCCAAGCGACUAUGGGAGGAGGAGGUGUAGCAAGGGGGGAGGGAGGCGCCAGAUGUCAGGGUGAGGCUGCCCUCCCACCCCCCUCUUUAUAUAGGGACCCUAGGGGGGCGCCGGCCCUGGAGAUGGGAUCUCCCAAGGGGGGCGGUGGCCAGGGGGGUGGAGUGCCCCCCAAGGCAAGUCGAGGCGCCCCCUCCCCUAGGGUUCCCAACCCUAGGCGCAGAGGGGGGCCCAGGGGGGGCGCACCAGCCCACCAGGGGCUGGUUCCCCUCCCACUUCAGCCCAUGGGGCCCUCCGGGAUGGGUGGUCCCACCCGGUGGACCCCCGGGACCCUUCCGGUGGUCCCGGUACAAUACCGGUGAACCCCAAAACUUUCCCGAUGGCCGAAACUCGACUUCCCAUAUAUAAUUCUUUACCUCCGGACCAUUCCGGAACUCCUCGUGACGUCUGGGAUCUCACCCAGGACUCCGAACAACUUUCGGUUUGCUGCAUACUAAUAUCUUUACAACCCUAGCGUCACCGAACCUUAAGUGUGUAGACCCUACGGGUUCGGGAGACAGGAAGACAUGACCGAGACUGCUCUCCGGUUAAUAACCAACAGCGGGAUCUGGAUACCCUUGUUGGCUCCCACAUGCUCCUCGAUGAUCUCAUCGGAUGAACCACGAUGUCGAGGAUUCAAGCAACCCCGUAUACAAUUCCCUUUGUCAAUCGGUAUGUUACUUGUCCGAGAUUCGAUCGUCGGUAUCCCAAUACCUCGUUCAAUCUCGUUACCGGCAAGUCACUUUACUCGUACCGUAAUGCAUGAUCCCGUGACCAGACGCUUGGUAACUUUGAGCUCAUUAUGAUGAUGCAUUACCGAGUGGGCCCAGUGAUACCUUUCCAUCAUACAGAGUGACAAAUCCCAGUCUCGAUCUGUGUCAACCCAACAGACACUUUCGGAGAUACCUGUAGUGCACCUUUAUAGCCACCCAGUUAUGUUGUGACGUUUGGUGCACCCAAAGCACUCCUACGGUAUCCGGGAGUUACACGAUCUCAUGGUCUAAGGAAAAGAUACUUGACAUUGGAAAAGCUCUAGCAAAACGAACUACACGAUCCUGUUCUAUGCUUAGGAUUGGGUCUUGUCCAUCACAUCAUUCUCCUAAUGAUGUGAUCCCGUUAUCAAUGACAUCUAAUGUCCAUAGUCAGGAAACCAUGACUAUCUGUUGAGCAACGAGCUAGUCAACUAGAGGCUCACUAGGGACAUAUUGUGGUCUAUGUAUUCACACGUGUAUUACGAUUUCCGGAUAAUACAAUUAUAGCAUGAAUAAAAGACAAUUAUCAUGAACAAGGAAAUAUAAUAAUAAUCCUUUUAUUAUUGCCUCUAGGGCAUAUUUCCAACAGAAAGCACUUCUGUGACGCGCGAUUUAUCGUCAUGGAAGUGGACACUUCCGUGAUCAUAAUUUUGGUAAUGUCAUGGAACACUUCUAUGACAGCACAGGUAUGACUAUCUUCAUUCUGUCAUAAAAUCAUCAAGAAUGUACUCCCUCCGAUUCUUUAUACUCUGCGCAUAACUUUCGUUCAUUUUUCUCGUUUUACUCUGCGCGUUCCUACUUCUCCUAUGCUUUCCUCUUAUGCCCCCCAAAAGCUGCUGCAUGCAACCAUUUGCAGUUAAUACUUGCCUUCUCUCGUUGGCCAUGCAGAGUGGAGAGAGAGAGGUAGUUGAGGGAAUCAAGGCAAUCGCAUGUGAGAGCCAAUCGGCUACAUGCAAGUUAAUAACAAUCCAGCACUAAAGUAGGGGCAAAUUAGUCCCAGAAAGAUCAAGCGAGCCCUUUCUUGGCAUGCGUGUGAGAUGUUAUACACAAAGAAAAUAUGAUCGGAGGGAGUACAUGCAUGACAGAAAACACGACCUACUGUGACAAACACGUAUCAUCACGGAAGUGUAUUUCUUUUGUAGUGGCUCCUCCUACAACUUCUGGAGGUCGAGCACUUGAGCAGGGAGGGGUAUCCCUUCUUCUUCCAUCUCAGCGCUCACAAGGGCAGAGCCAGUCAACCAGAAGCACGAGUUGACAUGGAUUCGACUUGUGGGCCGUCAGCCGCACGGCCUACUCGCGAUCGACGACUUCCCUAGUGGCUUGCAGGCCCAAACUGGGCCCGUUGAGGGUGUACGCCGAUAUAUGCGUGUGGUGUGUGUUGCGUGAGGAUUGGGAAGGGAGUUGGUGGCUUCGGCCAUGGCUAGUGUGUGUCAUGUGUGAGCUCGUGUAAGCAUUCAUGGCGAAUUGGCUAUAGAUCUGACAUCAAUACAAGUUAUACCCUCACAUCUAGCUUCAGAGCCGUUCCAUCCUGGAGUUCCCCACCACCCACACCGCACCAAGUUCAGCGAAUUACGGCGGCGGCAAGCCAUGGAUGGGCUGUCGGCGGAAGGGUGCAGCAUCCACAAGCUCGUUAAAUCCACCAUCUCCGACGACCUCGAUCAGCGCCUCAAGGUACACAGCGAAGACCUCCUCAAGUCCAUGACCAAAUUGCUCCAGGAUUCGACCAAGACCUUGGACGGUCUCAUCACAGCAUGCGUCGACAGUGUUCGCUCUGAGCUCCUCCUCAAAAUCUACCAGAUCCGCUCGGAUUGGGAGCGACGGGACAAGGCUGACUGCAAUGGACGGAUUGGAGGGCCUUCCUCAUCAAGCAGAGACGCCGAAGAAAGCCAGUACGCGGUUCCUGCUGAUUCCCAUGGAGCGGACAGGUUUAGUAAGUCCAAGGCUCACAACAUCUACGUCCCACCUCCGGCCAGGAGUGGGCGUGAAUUGCCUUCAGUCUCCCCGAGAGCUCAUCGCACUAGAUCAAGGUGAGUAGUACACUUCAUGGACGAGAGUCGAGCUGUCGCGGUUAAAUGGCUCAAAUCCCAGGCUGUGGCAAGUGAGAUGCGAGGACUGCUUCAAGCAAUGGGGCACGCACCAUAGCAGAUGAAUAUCAUCCGCCACCACUCAAUUCGAAGGGGCAGCUGCUCGCUGGUUGGAGUCUGUGCAGAGGAGAAUAGUGGGGUUACAGUGGACUGAAUUUUGCAAUCUCCUGCAAUCGAGAUUUGGCCGUAACCAACACCAGAAUUUGCUGAGGAAGAUGUUCCGAAUUGGUCAGACUAGAUCUGUCGAAGAAUAUGUAGAUCAAUUCUCUAAAUUGUAUGUCCAACUCACUACUUAUGAAAUCAUCCCUGAUCCACUGCAUUAUACCACCAGGUUCAUCGACGGGUUGAAACUAGGAGUCUGCAUGGCCAUUGCAAUGCAAAAACCCAGAGAUCUUGACACUGCGUACGAAUUAGCUCUGCUACACGAAGAAUUGUGAGAAGUAUCAUACCACCAAGCCAGUUCCACGACAAAAGGAGUCAUGCAUCAUCCGGAUAGUAUGCUUACAAGUCCAAAAAUGCAGAAGAGCGUCGGCCAAUUGACAGUCAAAGGUCAGAAACUACUAAAGAUAAGUGGGUCUCUCUGAGGAAUUUCAGGAAGGCAAAAGGAUUGUGCUUCAUCUGUGGUGAAAAAUGGUCCAAGGACCAUCAGUGCAAGUCUACUGUGCAGCUACAAGUUGUGCAAGAACUCAUUGAGCAAUUACAGAGCCCCGCUACAUCCCUGGAUGAAUCUGAUAGUGAUUCUGACAAUCUGAUGAUGCUCUCAGCAGCUGCUGUAAGCAACAGUGUGUCAAAGAUGUCCCUCACCUUACCAGUACUUCUACAAGGUAUUAAGCUAAGGUUUCUAGUUGACUCAGGGAGCACUCAUUCAUUCGUGGACAGUUCUCAUCAACAGAUGUUUCCAACAAUGACUGAAAUUAAGUCGGUUUCUGUCAAGGUUGCAGGAGGAGGGAAGUUGAGCUAUUCACAGCAGGUUAAACACUGCAAGUGGAGUUGUCAGGGAGAAAACUUUGUGCAUGAUUUCAGAGUCCUAACCCUUGGAGGAUAUGAUAGUAUUUUGGGCCUUGAUUGGCUAGCCAAGCAUAGUCCAAUGUACAUGGACUGGGAACAAAAAUGGCUCUCCUUCCAGUAUAAGGGAACUACUGUUACCCUACAAGGGGAAUUGCCUGAAGAGUGUGAAUUCACUGUCAUGGCAAUUUUUCAGAACAUCACUACUAAAAACAGUGAGCACUUACCUGAGAUACAAGCUUUAUUAGACAAGUAUGCUGAGGUUUUUGCUCCCCCAACUAGUUUACCUCCCAGAAGGCAGUAUGACCACAGUAUUCCCCUGCUACCUGGAGCUCAACCAGUGUCUAUUAGACCAUACAGAAUUCCUCCUCACCUGAAGAUUGAAAUGGAAAAGCAGGUGGCAGAAAUGUUGUAGAGAGGGUUAAUUCAAGUGAGUAAUAGUCCUUUUUCUUCUCCAGCACUACUGGUCAAAAAGAAGGAAGAAGGAGCUUGGAGGUUGGUCAUAGACUUCAGACAUGUCAAUGCACUCACAGUGAAAAGCAAAUACCCUAUUCAUAUUAUUGAUGAGCUACUAGAUGAACUUGCUGGAGAUCGUUGGGUUUCUAAAUUGGACCUCAGAGCAGGAUACCAUCAGACCAGACUUGCAUCAGGAGAAGAGUUUAAAACUACUUUUCAGACACACAUUGGUCACUAUGAGUUCACUGUUGUGGCCAUGGGGCUGACUGGGGAUCCCAAUACAUUCCAAGGAGCAAUGAACACAGAUCUAGCUCCAUCCUUGAGUGGUGAGGAUCACUGUGUUGUAUGUUUCUUUGAUGAUAUUCUAGUUUUCAGCCAAUCCCUCAAGGAACAUCUCCUGCAUCUAGACAAGGUAUUGGGUAUUCUACUAGAAAAACAAUGGAAUGUAAAACUCAGUAAAUGUGAAAAGCAAGAGAUUGCUUAUCUGGGUCAUGUCAUAAGUGACAAGGGGGUUUCCACUGAUGCCAGUAAAAUUACAGCUGUUAAGAAUUGACCAGUUCCUAUGGAUGUGAAGCAGGUCAGAGGAUUUUUGGGCUUAACUGGAUACUACAGGAAAUUUAUCAAAAACUAUGGUGUGAUUAGCAGACCUCUGACUGACUUGUUGAAAAGGGGGGCUAUAUUUGUGUGGACUUCCACUACUGAUUUAGCCUUCCAGACACCGAAGCAGGCUCUGAUUCAUGCUCCUGUAUUAGCCCUUCCAGAUUACUCCAAGCAGUUUGUGGUGGAAACAGAUGCAUGUGAAGUUGGCAUUGGGGUUGUUCUUAUGCAACAGGAUCAUCCAAUUGCAUUUGUCAGCAGGGCCUUGGGUCCUAAGAACAGAGGUCUUCCUGUGUAUGAGAAGGAAUACAUGGCAAUACUACUAGCCAUUGAGAAGUGGAGACCAUACUUGCAAUUCCAGGAGUUCAUUAUCAAGACAAAUCAGAAGAGUCUGGUUCACCCGUCUGAUCAAAGAUUGCAUACACCUUGGCAGGAAAAAGCACUCACCAAAAUGAUGGGCCUCAACUAUAAGAUCAUGUAUAAAAAGGGAUCUAACAAUUCAGCAGUAGAUGCUCUUUCUAGAAGGCCUCAUGCAGAUUCUCAGCUCCUAACAAUAUCAUAUGCUCAGCCCAGUUGGCUUGGUGAAAUUGUCGAGAGUUACUCAAAUGAUCCAAAAGCACAAGAGUUACUGUGCCAACUGACCCUACAACCAGGCUCCAAGGAUAAAUUUCAGCUAGUUAAUGGGUUAAAUAAGGUACAAGGGCUGCAUCUGGGUGGGCAAUGAUAGUACAUUGCAUAUAAAAAUUUGUCAACCCUUCCAUGACACACCCCUAGGAGGGCACUCAGGUUUCCCAGUUACUUAUAAGAGAAUUCGUGCUCUUUUUAAGUGGGUUGGCAUGAAGAAACUUGUUCAGCAGUUUGUGCAAUCUUGCUUAGUGUGUCAGCAAGCGACACCUGAGAGAGUGGCUUACCCUGGACUACUAUCCCCAUUACCAGUUCCUACCAAGGCUUGGGCAACUGUAACAAUGGGCUUUAUCUCAGGUUUACCUCCCUCGGGUCAGUUUGACUGCAUUAUGCUCAUCAUCGACAAAUUUACAAAAUAUGGCCACUUUGUUCCUGUCAAAAACCCCUACACAUCUUAGAAAAUUGCUGAUCUUUUCCUGGACAAUGUCUAUAAGCUUCAUGGCAUGCCUCUGUACAUUGUGUCAGAUCGGGAUCAUAUCUUUACUAGCAAUUUUUGGCAAGCAUUGGUUAAGAAAACUGGGAUUGUUCUUAACAUGAGCACUGCAUAUCAUAUGGAGACUGAUGGCCAAACCGAACGAGUGAAUCAACAGGUUGAGUGUUUCCUAAGAUGCUUUAUCAGUGCCCACCAGAGCAAAUGGUCCAAAUGGCUUUCUCUAUGCGAGUUCUGGUACAAUACAAACUGGCAUUCAGCUCUGAACAAAUCACCAUCUGAAGUUCUUUAUGGGCAUAGCCCCAGGUAUUUUGGGAUAUCAGUUUCAUAUACAGUUGCUCCGGUUGAUUUGCAGCAAUGGUUGGAAGCUAGGGAAGUUGUGCAACAGUCGGUUUGUCAACACCUGUUGUGUGUGCAACGAUGAAUGAAACACCAGGCCAACAAACAUCGCACGGAGAGGACAUUUGAAGUGGGUGACAGGGUGUUCCUCAAGCUCAAGCCAUAUGUGCAAUCGUCAGUGGCGCACAGGGCAAAUAACAAACUUGCAUUCAAGUACUUUUGGCCUUUCCUCAUUCUGGAGAAAAUUGGCGAGGUGGCUUACCGGCUGCAAUUGCCAGCAGCUAGCCGUAUCCACCCGGCCUUUCAUGUUUUGCAGCUGAAGCGCUUUGUGCAACCACAUUACGAGGUAAUUGACUCACUUCCUUGUGCCGAUGCUCACCUCCAAAUCCCUGUUAAGAUCUUGCAGGAGCGCAUUCGCCGCUCGGACAAUCGUUCCGUGGCUCAAGCCUUGAUCCAGUGGAGUGGUGGAGAUGCAUCUACAGCAACCUGGAAGGACAAGGACUCGCUUCGCCAGUUGUUUCCGUGAGCCCCGGCUUGGGGUUAAGCCGGUUCUAAAAGAGAGGGGGAUGUCAACGCUCACAAGGGCAGAGCCAGUUAACCAGAAGCACGAGUUGACGUGGAUUCGACUCAUGGGCCGUCAGCCGCACGGCCCACUCGCGAUCGACGACUUCCCCAGUGGCUUGCAGGCCCAAACUGGGACCGUUGAGGGUGUACGCCGAUAUAUGCGUUGUGUGUGUGUGUGUUGCGUGAGGAUUGGGAACGGAGUUGGUGGCUUCAGCCAUGGCUAGUGUGCGGCGUGCGUGAGCUCGUGUAAGCAUUCAUGGCGAAUUGGCUAUAGAUUGAGAUCAAUACAAGUUAUACCCUCACAUUCCGGAGGACAGAAUGAAACAUCUCCACCGGAAUAGCAGAUAGUGCAACAAGACGAUGGAUGUGUGACGCCCCAAGACCGACGCUCUAGAAGACUUAUAGCUGGUCCAUGUUUCUCGUUGUCGCCGUGUGUUUUGUUUUGUUUGUUGCAUUCAUCAUUGCAUCAUGUCAUCAUGCAACCCUUUUUAAACCUCAGCUAAAUAAAUUGCAUGGAUCAUCGAUCUAUUUAAAUCGAGGGAAUUUACAUGGUGAUUUCUCUUUAGAACAUAUACUCCCAAUAUUAUUAGGGAGCUAUGAAUAUUCCAUUAACUGGAAAUCACCCAUAACACAUUUACAUUAUUCUUCAACUCUUCUUUUAUCCUAGUCAACUUUCUAUCCUUCCUUUUCGACGUUUUAGUAAAAUUGAGUUGCAAUUUUACUUCUCCAUAAAUGUUUCAAAUCUUCCCAUAAAUCACAUCUGGUGUGUAGGGUCACCCCCCUAUAAUUUCAACCCAUUUGGAGUUCAUUCGAAUGGGUUUCGAAAUUCAAACUUGUCUGAGUUAAAUCCAACAUGUGUGGAUAUUAUUUCCUCUAAAAAUCCUCAAUCUAUUUUUGUCAAAUUCCUCACAUUUUUGUGAGUCCGGGAAAAUAAUCCCCAUGCCCAAAUUCUAUCUCUACCUUCAUUUCUUCUUUUUUUUUCUUUGACAUUUUUUUGUUUUUGGGAGAGAGAAGAAGGAGAGCAACCGCAGCUCAGCCUGCUACCAGCAGCCGUGUCAGGCCACCGUGGCCUCCCGUAGCCCACCACCCAGGCCUAGGCCUAGUCGGCGCCCCUUUCUAACCUAACCCUCACCCGAUCCCCUCGUUAUCUCCCUCUCGAUCCCCUCAUCCUCCUCCUUGCGCCGCCGCGAGGGCUUCUUGCCCGACCCCGUGCCACCUCGUCCCCGUAGCUCUUCAGCUCGCAGCCGCCGGCGAGCCCCGUCCACCACGCACUACCCCGAGCCUCUUGCCAUCACUCUCCACCCCGCGCGCGACCAGCGUCGUCCUAUCCGUGCCGCCCCGUCCAGUUCCUCGUCGGUGACCCCCCACUCCGGAUCCGCCUCCCAGGACCACGACCAGUGCCGCGGCUCCACGCCGUCAUCCGCAUCCCCGGCCUCCUCGUCGCCGUUUCGCCCGUCCCCGGCCACCGGUGCCCUCGCCAGAGCUCCGGCAAGCCGUCCCUGCCGCGCCCGACCUCUCCCUCGCCUCGCCGUUGCCCUGCUCCAGCGCUGCCUACCGACCUCCUCUGCUCCAGCCGUGGGCACCUCCUGCCCGAGAACCACAUUCGGCCUCGCCAUGGUUCUCCUGCACCAGCUCCGUCCGACAAGGACGUCGCCCCGCUUCCUUCUCUUGCCGCGAUCGGGAUCCCCCUCCUCACGCCUCGGGUCACCUCGCCACCCCAUCACCCGUCUUGUGCCCGCGUCCGCGUAGCGCCAUCUCUGCUGCCCCCACGCACCUCCGAUGACCUCCCGAGGCAGGGCCAAGUACCACUACCAUCGCAUUUCGUUUCUUCAUCGUCAAGGCCGAGAGGACGCCAAGUACUAGUACGUCAGGACCCGUCAAGUUCAUCUACGUGCAUGUACGACUAUCUUCGCCAUAGACUCGUGUACGAUUACGCAACAAACUGUGUAGUUACACGAGCUACCAGUACCGCGACGACCCCGGAGACUGUAUUCUGUCAAGUUCCUCUACAAUAUGUGUACCACUACUUCCACAACAUGUCGUGUAUGACUACCGUCGCUCGGAUUCGACAAGACAAUGUGUACCACUACAGUCGCCAAGUUCGACUGCCGCACGGUUACGCCAAGUUCAUCUACGAAACGUGUACAACUACUUCCACUACCGUCGCGAGAACGACUACUUCCACUAUGGCCCGUGUACCACUACUUCCCUCGACGAACUCGAACCGCUCCGAAAAAGCACACCACAAAGGUAUAACCACGAGACGAUCACGCGUGGACCGAAUGCACGUGUGUUGUAUCAGGUGCUCGUGUUUGCACCAUGUCCGAGUUGAUCCUUGCACGUUCCUCCUCGUUUGCCAUGUCGUCGGCCCGUGGGAACCCGGUAAUCCGGGAUCACCCCUCCAUCUUUUGCAUGCUCACGCCCACACUUUCUUUUGCACCGGUAUCUCAACAAGUUGCUGGAUCAUCGGAAUGUUGCCGUGGCACCAUUUCCGUUGUCAUUGCCGUGGCACCCCUUUUGUUCCGCCAUGGUGACAAAUGCUUCAUAUCUUAUAUUAUGUCAACAUUUUCAUAAAAAUUGCAUAAAACUUGUAUAUGUCAUCCGCGUCAUGAUAACAACAUUUAAAAUGUUUAAAAUUGUUGUUGCAUUAAAUUGCUAAAUAACAUAUGGGGAUUUUCCAGAAUUGUUGUUUGUUGUUUCCGGCAUCAUUUAAACUUGCCUAAAUAGGUGGUUUGCUCAUGUUUCACCUCUUGCCAUGUUAACCAACAUUUAAACUUGUCUUGUUCAUAAACAAGAGCGAACUAAAUAAUUGGAUGUGGUGUUUUGUCAAUAUGCAACUCAUUGUAUAUUGAGCUCCACUUAAAUUGUAGUGUUGUUUGUGCACUUUGCCAUGUCAUGCAUAUUUAAACCGGACAUGCAUCAUACUUGAAUGUGCAUCAUGCCAUGUUAUGUGAUGAUUGUUUACCAUGUUGUUUGCUUCUUUCCGGUGUUGUUUCUUAGUUUCGGUAACGUUGUGGUUUGUGAGGAUUCGUUCGACUAUGUCCGUUUGUCUUCUUCUUGGACUCGUUCUUCAUUCUUGCGGGAUCUCAGGCAAGAUGACCAUUACCCUCGAUAUCACUUCUAUCUUUGCUUGCUAGUUGCUUCUUUCUAUCGCUAUGCUGGUUGAAGUUUUCAUGAGCAUAAGACAAUUUCAAAUCUGAGGUUGCUGCAAGCAUGACAACCCGACACUUGGGGGCUACAGGUGAUAUGCAUAUAAGGGAGGAAUAACUUCAAAUUCUUAGUUUUGAGGAAAUCAGGUAUUAUAUUAUUAUCAGAGAAAUCUGCAAAGUUUAUGACCCGGCGUCACCAUAAGAUUAACCCGGCAUCAGCAACAAUUACAUGACCUGGCAUCAUUUAUUUAUAACCCGGCAAAUUUGGUAAUCAUAAGUCGGCAAGAUUUACAUCUCUAAGCCGGCUGAAUAUCAAUUCAAUAUUUCAAAGACCAAUAUUUUUGUCAAGUCAGAGCAUUGAAGGCCGACUCAAAUGGAUUAUUUCUUAUAAUAUUUCUCUACAAGAGCCAAUGUCAGCAAAUUGGUUAUGAAGCUGGCCUAUUGACCUAGAUUUUUUAGAAGAAGUGCCUGGAUUUUUUUGCAUUGGCAAGGUUUGGACAUAUCUGUUAAAGGAGAUUUGCUAUAAGAUCUUGAGUAUGCAUCUAGGAGGAAAUGACAAGGACUUAAAGAUGAUCAGGUGCCGGUUCGGGAAAAUAUUUAACCCGGAGCACAACCUAUCAAGUUUGUUCUUGUGUUUAUUUUACUGGAUCAAUUUAACUUGGAUAAAUCCAAAUUAAACUGGAGGCUAAUGUCGGGGAUAUACCCCGCGGUAUGACCUGGCUGGAAGUAUGACCCGGCCGGGCUGGGCAUUUUCAUUGGUAACCUGCCGGAGUGGCGACUCACGAGCCUCGCGAUUCACGGAUGGCCCUGACGGCGGGUCAGAUAGAAGACAAGGCCCAAGGCCCAGAAGGCCGGGUCAUGCUAUGGUGGGCCGGCUUAAGAGAAAAGGCAUAGGGAAUAUUAUCCUACAAAGGAAGCAAGACUAGGACUCCACUUGUAAUAGAGUAAUCCUAAUCCUACUAGGACUAGUCAUGUAACCCGCCCCUUCAACUUAUAUAAGGAGGGGCAGGGCUCCUCAAAGAGGACAAGCAAGAAGAAACAAUCUCUAGGGCUAGACACAAGAGCCGGCUUACCGGCGACUCCCUCAUGAUCAUAAUGAGACCUAGCCACAAACAACAUGUAGGGUUAUUACCAGUUGAUGUUUCUCGGGGCCCGAAGCUGUCUAAAUCCUUGUCUUGUGUGUUGAUUGCAUCACGUCUCUCGAUUCCGACCAACCCCUUCAAGCUACUGCAUAGAUGUGUUGGCCUCACGACUAAGUCCUCACACUAAGGACAUCUGACAUGACAAUUCCAUGACACUAUCACUUGUUUACCAUGCCUCCCAUAUUGCCAUGUCAAGCCUCUAACCCACCUUCCUAGUAAAUCGUUGUUUGGCUAAGUUCCCGCUUUUGGUCAGCCUCUCUUAUAGCGUUGUUAGUUGCAGGUGAAGUUGAAGAUUGCUCCAUGUUGGAACAUGAUUAUGUUGGGAUAUCACAAUAUCUCUUAUUUUUAAUAAAUGCAUCUAUAUAUUUGGUAAAGGGUGGAAGGCUUGGCCUUAUGCUUGGUGUUUUGUUCCACUCUUGCCGCCUUAGUUUCCGUCAUACUAGUGUUAUGUUUCUUAAUUUUGCGUUCCUUACGCGGUCGGGUUUAUGGGAACCCCUUGACAGUCCGCCUUGAAUAAAACUCCUCCAGCAAGGCCGACAUUGGUUUUCCAUUUGCCUAACAACCUACAACCCUCCCUUGGUGUCUGCAGCCCCGAGGGUCAUCUUUAUUUUAACCCCCCGGGGCAAGUGUUUCUCUAAGUGUUGGUCAACACUAGAGCCACUUGCAGCGCCACCUCGGGGAAACUCGAGGGCUGGUUUUUAGUUGUACGUAGUGUUCAUCCGGUGUGCCCUGAGAACAAGAUAUGUGCAGCUCCUAUCAGGAUUUGUCGGCACAUCUGGGCGGUCUUGCUGGUCUUGUUUUACCAUUGCCGAAACGUCUUGUAACCGGAAUUCCGAGACUGAUCGGGUCUUUCCGGGAGAAGGAAUAUCCUUCGUUGAUCGUGAGAGCUUGCGAUGGGCUAAGUUGGGACACCCCUGCAGGGUAUAAACUUUCGAGAGCCGUGCCCACGGUUAUGUGGCAGACGGGAAUUUGUUAAUAUCCGGUUGUAGAGAACUUGACAUUUGACUUGAUUAAAAUGCAUCAACCGCGUGUGUAGCCGUGAUGGUCUCUUUUCGGCGGAGUCCGGGAAGUGAACACGGUUUGGGUUAUGUUUGAACGUAAGUAGUCUUCAGGAUCACUUCUUGAUCACUUCUAGAUGACGACCGUUGCGUAGUUUCUCUUCCUACUCUUUUACUCACAUGUUAGCCAUCAUAUUUUGCUUAUCAAUUUCUGCAACCCCACCUCAUUACCACAUCCUACCCAUAAGCUUAAAUAGUCUUGAUCUCGCGGGUUUUGAGAUUGCCGAGUCCUCGUGACUCACAGGUAUUACCAAAACAGUUGCAUGUGCCGAUGAUAGCAGUGCAGGUGAUGCAAUUGAGCUCAGUUGGGAGUUUGACGAAGUCCUUGGCAGUUACUAUGUUUCGUUUUCUGAUGAUCAGUAGUGGAGUCCAGUUGGGACGAGCGGGGAUCUAGCAUUUGGGGUUAUCUUCUUUUCAGUUGGAUUUGUCCGUAGCCGGACUAUGUGUGUACUCUGAAUGUUGUAUGUUUUAUUUAAGUACUUGUGUGAAGUGGCGAUUGUAAAUCAACUCUUUAUCCCUUUCUUGUUCAUUACAGGGAUUGUGUGAAGAUGACCCUUCUUGCGAAACAACCACAAUGCGGUUAUAUGCCUCUAAGUCGGGCCUCAACACGUGGGAGUUAUAGCCACAUCGUGGGCGUUACGGGACGCUUGCCUGUUGUGCCCGCACUCUAACACUAUAUGCACGUGUUCGCCGCGCACUUGUCCUAUGUGGGUUGCCGGGACAUCAAGUAAGCCAAGACGUACUUCUUCCACAACGCUAUUCUGGUUUGUGUUGCACUAGCGGGUAGUGCGUGGCGGCACGCCGCGCUUUGCUUGUAGUUUCGAGAUUUGUUGAUUUUUGUAUUUUGCAUAAACUUUUACGUGUAAAAAUAGCCAGAUAUUAGAGACAAUACACCAUGCAGGUGGAUCAUUAAUUCAAGACCUUCUUACCACAAGAUUAGACGAUGGAACCAUGAACUUAAAAACUGUUAUGAAAUAUAGUGACCAAAGCAUGGACACAAUUUAUUAUCACUGUAGAGGGUGGCCAUCACUAUGCAUUGUUAACACGAAGUUAUUAUCUCUGAAAAAGUCUCAUGGAAAAGAAUAGAACAGUGGUAGAGAUUUCUAUAGAGCAUAGUCCCGCUUAAGAAUGUUGAACAAUCUGUCCUAUUUUUGCUUGAGCUUGGAAGAAUAAGACAUUCAAUAUAAUGAAUUUUAAACCAUACAAAAAUGUGGACCAAACUGAUCUUUGAAAAAAAAAACUUAAUCUCUCCUACUACUAAAUGUAUACAUUGAUUUUUUUUCCUCACAAUUUUGUUUACCCUCAGCUUCAUUCGAGCUAACAACUCAUAUAUUUUAUCAGUGCAGUUGUAAGAAAACAUAAAAGAGUUAUAAUUUUUUUGCUUCCUCUAACCCAGGUCCACAAUAAUCCAGCUAUAAAUUACUGGAUGAAGUAAGUGGGAUGACCGGUAAAGUUAUUUGGAACCAAAGCAUGAUAAUAAGCAAAUUAUCAUCAUCCUAUAGAUAACAAUCAAAUAAAACAGAAGGAGCUGCAUGAAGAAAUUUUGAGUCAAGACUGUUUGCAGCAAGUUCUAUUACUGAUCCUUGAAUAACAGAACAAUACAAUAAUAAAGUGUACAUUUGUCAGAUCCAUCACUGCUCACGCGUGUGCACCUGCACUUGGGACCACAGCGGUGCGGUGCACUAAGAAGUCUGAGAUCCACUCUCUUUCUCUCUAGCUUUCUCAAAUCUCCCUGCUCAUUCCCCACCUCCACCAUUCCCCCAUCUCCGUAGCGCAUUUGUUGCUCUCGCCGCCAGCUCUCGCUGCCCCAGCGUGGCUCAUCCGUCUCCUCUCCACUGGCAGUAGAAAUCGAGUGCUGCUCGCCCGCACAAUACGCAUCGGCAAGGCACCUCCUACGCCGGCUCCUCGCCUGCACAUCACGCAUCGGUGAGGAAUCGAUUCCACUCAAAGCAGAGGGCGGUCUGGAAAGGGAGAAACCGGCGGAGGAGGGAGGGUCUUGAAAGAGUAGGAGGAAGCGAGGCUGCGAGAGAGGUAGGGGAGAAGAGGAAGCGGCGGGGUACGGCGUGGCGGUGGCAAAAGCUCCGGCAUGCUCGCCAUUGGGCAUUGAUGGCGGCAAGAGCUAGCUAGGCACGACAAGUCCUGAUGAGGUUCACCGUCCACGCGAUUCAUAUCCUCCAGGAUGGUCUCGUCGAUUGAUUCUCUCCUCUCGGGUACCUACUCACCCGACUGCUAAAUAUCCAUCUGUCUAAUUCACCUUUUCUGCUAACUGCAAGUCUCACACCAUGUCAGUGCAACCCGCGGUUCGACAUGGGACUUCGUUUGCUUCGUCUAGAACUUCUGCAUCAUGAGCCUCGCAAAGAUGGCCGCCCUGCUCUUUAUUCCUCUGUCUAGGUAAGCUACAUGAACAGUUUUAGUCGUGAAGCAAGUACACACUUGACUAUAGAAAAUACAUCAUUUUUUCUUCAGUCCACAACACCAAAAGAAAAUACGGCGAUAAAUGCCAGCAAUUAAUCUUAUGUAGGUAAUAACAAUGCAUAAGCCUGAAAUUAUCUUCAGUGUCUUAAAUCAAUAGUACAGGAGCACUAUGUAAAUUACUGGAAUAUAUUGAAACAUACCAGGCCUUGUUAUAUCAACAACAGGGACAUACAUAGGUGUUUCUAAAUUCAGUAAUCACUAAAGCAGAUCAGCGUUGCUCGUACUCUUAAAUUAAGAAUACAUACUACCUAUUUAGAUUCUACCUUUGAGCAGCAUAUAAGGAGUGCAAAUAUUAGCAUGAACCCAGAACUCGCUCAAAAUUACAACACAGCUUAACUGAGCAAAAUCAAAUGGCAGAGGAAGAUAUAAUAUGUACAUAUAAAAUUCCUAUUAUGGGCAUCUGCAAAGGAAGAAGAUCAAUACCCACACAUGAUGGUACUGAAACAAAUUCAUGUAACAUCGUCCAAGAAUGUUAGCUUAAGCAUACCAUGAUAAUCACAAAUCUGACGGUCGUUGUCUCUGGUCCAAUAUCGACACCUGCAAUUGCAGAAGAUCAAUUCUCACAGAUGAUGGUACUAAAAGAAAUUGGCAAACGAAAGAAAAUACAUGUUGCAUGUACAUAAGCUGGUGAUAGUUUGUUCUCCAGGAGAUGCUUGACAAAAGUUGUUUUCCCCAUACUUUGUACCAAACUAGUGGGGUCGCCCGCGCAUUUGCGCGGCUAGAUUAUUGAUUUUGUUGUGAAAAUAGUUGAAGUCCACUUAUUUUAAUGCUAACAAUAUAUAUUAUAAUUCUAAUGGCCUUAUAAGUGAAACUUUGUAUCAUGCUUUUGGAAUAUUGGUGAUUUAUUGCUCCAAAUAAAUUCAAAUUUUAACAAAAGAAUUAGAAUAUCGCCUAAAAUAACGUACCCAAUUUGGAAUCGAAAUACAAAAAUAUUGCAAUUAAAGCAUUUUUAUAGCCAUAUAAUAGUUGCCGGACAUGUGUGCCAUGGGGGUUGGCGUGAAGUUCCAUUGAGGAACUUGGACUCUAGGCCAUGUGCAGCCGCUAGGCCACCUAAUCUCCUAUGGGUAGGUCAAUUAUCUCUUCCCUGCCACGUUAACCUCUCUUUCCAUUCUUCCAUGUUUGCCUCUCUUGCAACUCUCACUCAUUGUACAACCAUUGGUUCUAUUUCUCUUUAGCUUCUCAAGCUUCACCGUGGCCCCCUUUAGACCGAGGUGACACUUAUAUUGAUAGCAAUAACUCCUGAUCGAGCACCGCUGUUGGGUGGUAGUUAGCUUUGAUGGUUUCAUAUACAAAAUGUCAAAACUCAUUUGUCAAAUAAAAGAAGUUGUAGUCGGUGUCUAAAUCGUGAAAAAGUAUUAUGGACUCAAGUAUAUUUAUUUUAUCAUGUGUAGUAAGAUGUUAGCAAAGCAUUUCGUAUGUGACAACUAAAAACCAUAUUUGGGUUCACUUUUGGCACGCCCAACUAUAUAGUGGUGCCUAUCUUUUAUCCACAAUUUUAAGAAACAUCCCAACAAAAAAUAAUAUUUUAACUCUGAUGUCUAGAAUAUUUUCCAACUAAUGUAUGUUGCUUAGCCAUCUAAGACAAUAUAAACUUAUUUGCAUGUAUUUGAAAAAAAAAUCCAGAACUAACCUCACCUGCUAAAUAUUGCCUAAUCUAUGUAGCUGGCCAUUUUUCUUUAUUUUUAUCAUAGCACGGUUAUUUAUUUUCCUCAUAAAAGUUAUUAGCUUCUUUUAUCGUGGCAUUGCACACACUACAUUUGGUGGCAGCGAGCUGGGUAGCCCUCGCAAUGAUGUGGCUAGAUUGUCUAAUAUAGAGACUAAAACAAAAUCAUAAAAUGUAUAGUACAAACAAUUUAGAGAAAUAUGAUUGUGUACUUUCGGACAAAGGUAUUUCCAUUUUAGUGCAUGGAUUGUAGCCAAGGACAUUUCUAAGUUAAAACAAAGGAUAAAUGCUACAUUUAUGUGUGUCGCCCUUGAAACCAUAUACUGGGUUAUGCCUUUGUCUCAUCCAGUCCGCAUCCAUGGGCUAUGGAUUUCACAAUGAGUUUCUUAAAGACAUGCACUAUUUAUCCAACAAAUAAGUCACAUCCAGAACAAACAAAAAAAUAUUUUUAGGAAAAUUAUAAGGAAAUUCUCCAAUGCAUAUAUUUGAACUAAAUAUAGUUCAUGAAGAUUUUUAGUGCAUGUGCCCAGUUUUUUGCAGCAAAAAUAUGGGUUACCCUCCCGUAAUUAGAGAUAUCUUCUUUUUAUCCAUAUAAACACCUUAUACAUCUUUUCCUUCUAGUCCAUCAGGAGAAUGAUAUUUUUUGGAAGUGCACCUAUAAUGCGUGAGAUCUUGUACCAAAGAAUACACCACACGGGAAAUCAUUUUGUUACUGUUUUAUUUACCGAUUGUUUGCCCUCGUGUCAACGAUUGUAGUAUUUAGCUUUCCACGACAUUAGCAUUGGUACAUUGACCACUGUUAGUUAGAAGAGAAAAAUACACUAGAACAUCUCGCAGAAAGUAGUCCAAUUAUUUGGUGGACCAUAUAAAAAUUUACAAUUUGGACUGACCAGAGAAAAGGAAAAAUGCUAGAAAAUAUCAUUAGAGACAAAUAUGAGGAAAUUAGUUUGCUAACAUAAAUGCAUAUACCCCCGCAAAAAACCAUGUCGCAUAAACACAUGCAUAAAUGAUAUAUAUGUUGCCAAGAUGGUAUUUCCCCAUGUUGUAGAUGCUACACAUGAAGGAUCAAUUAGCAUACGUGCGUAUCAAGAGAUAGAUCAAUGAGCGCACCUGUUCACAUGUAAAUGCAUGCGUACGUGUGUGUUUUUGCUGUGAACGCCCGAAGCUCCUUGAGUCGACGUGAAUGCGCCGCCACAACCGCGAGUCAGCGACAACUCUGCCACGCCAUUGCGUUUCUCUCCUGUGACAUGCGCCUCUGCCGCUGCCAUCGGCCGUCGCCCCUGCUGCCGCCGCCGUCGCUGUUACUGUGUAGGCUAGCUUCUACGAUCAUACAUCGAUCCCGCCAGUAGCUAUUCAUAUUCCUCCGCAUAACGUCUAAUUGCACAAUUACAUACGUCUUUGAUUGUUGUUAUAAGUCGUACACUACCGCUUGCUGCAUGGCAGCAGCCUCCACGGCGGUGCACCGGCGAGAUCGUGCGUACCAUGAGGAGGUCAUGGGCCUUGGCUGAACCCAGGUACGCAGUCAAUCAGAGAAUAUCAAAUUAUUUUGCCUUCCCCAAGUCAUAAUAGAUUGCCUGUGCCUGUACGCUAGAGCAUGUCGUUUCCUUUCCAAAUUCCGUUUCCUUUCCAUGUAAAUCUUUUUUCUUGUCUACUCAUUUCAAAUUACGUUUCCUUUCCAUGUAAAUCUUUUUUCUUUUCUUUUUAGCACCCUGUCCUAUCCAUCACGUUUGGCUGCGGUUGGACAUACUUUUUGUACAUGUCGUUAUUACUUGCCUAUUGCUAGUUUCUUUUUACGUGUAUUACAUGAGGAAAUCUUGAUCGUUGAUACAUCUUAAUAUUAGAGUGUCAAAUCAGCACCGUUCGUUUUCUAUGGUUUUAUAAGUAUAUACUAGAUGAUAGAUUUCAGACAAAAUCUGCCCUGCUGCUCAAGAAUGUAAAGCCAUGUCAUUCAACUUGUUGUCAAUUGAUCCUAAUGGUAAAUACAAAUACAAUGUCACUUAAAAAGAUUAUGCCAUUAUAGUUUUCUGAAACAAGAAUACGCCAUAAUAGCAUAGUGCCAGAAUUAUUUCAGUCGCUAUACAGUUUGAUGCGAUUCACAUGCAUGAUAUUUUAAUGAGUAGGCAAAUCGAAAUAUAAGGCACGUAGAAGGAAGAGGAACCAGGAGUGGUGAUGUUGUGCUCAUCUAUACCAUCGCUUGUGAGCUAUGCAGUGGCAGCUGCCCUACAGAGAGGAAUGGUUGUGGCCCGGGAACAUGGCGCCUCAAAAGCAAUGUUAUAUGCUGUUGAGGAAGGGCGUCUCUGAUGGUCGCGCUGCGUCAAGCAUGUCAUCGCCGGUGCCGACAACAGGCCAACGACGGGAGGGAGGUGGCACACCGCCGCGGGAGAGCGGAGUAGAGCACAGGACAACGUGAGGAGGGGGGCAACUUACCAAACCUCCCGCCAUGGUCAUCCUCGAUUGGAUCCACCAUCAUGCACAUGUCGUCGUUGUCGUCCUACGCCAGUGCCUCCUUCAGGCACUGCAUAGCGGCCGCUCCACCUCACCAUUGCCUUGACACGGAACAGCCAACCAGGACGGAGCGAUAAGGUGUUGGAGCACCUCCUCGUGUCAGCUUCAGCGCCCGCUUAGCCAAGGCGGCAACUCCCGGGGACGUAGUGGGUGGUCGGCUCUGGUGGCAUGCGAUGGCGGGCUUCGGUGAUCUGGGCAGGCGAAAGGUCGAGGCGCGGGGUGGCUCGCGGCGUCGAGCAUGUGGCACGCUUGAACAAUGGGGACGCCGGGACUCCAGCACCUGAACGACGUGAGGUCGCGAGCUCGUGGUCGAGAGCAAUGGCAUUGGCCCAAGAUGACGUCAACAUCGACGAUGUGCAGCCGCGGCCUGAGUUUAGCCUACCGCGCGGAGGUACGCCGCCUUCCUUCCUCUCCUCCGUCAUGGCCUCUGAUCGUGGCGGGGGCGACGGGAGAGAAUUUUGGAGC
rnacentral:lncRNA from 1 species